rnacentral:lncRNA from 1 species
UUAGAGAUCGAAUUGGGCAGAUAUUCUAAGGAACGAUUAUCUGAAAGAUUUAGAACUUUUAACCCAGACAUGUGCUUAAAAAAAGAUUCUGAAAUCCUUUCUAAGCCACAAUGUUCCAAAAUCAAAGUUGAUAAAUGAGGCCAUCUAGGUGAUAUGUGAGGAGGAAUUUCUAAUUUAAAAGUUUCCAUCAAGGAAACUUUCUCAACACUCACUGUCCAUUCUUGCUCACUUGGGAAUUCUUUCAAUGGCAUACCUGCUUUUCCCAUGAACUGAUGACCUGCAAUAUACAACGCCAUGUCCCUCAAAACAUCAUGCAUCUUAACUCCAUCAUUAUCAAUAAGAAAUGUAGCCCUCUCUAAUAGGCAAUUACUUUCAAGCUUAUUUAAAAUGCUAUAACCUCUAUGAUGCAUUGCUUCUUUGGUCUGUAAGCCAUCAAGGAGUCCCUCAUCUAUCCAAUUUUCAAUUAAUUCCACUUUUCUAAUUAUAUAAUCUUCAGGAUAUAGGGAGCAAUAUAAGAAACAAUUUUGGAUUUUUGGAUCUCUCAAAUGGUCAUAACUGAACUUCAAAGGCUCAUAUACUUCGAUAUCCAAUUCUUUCACACUUUCCACACGCUCUUCUAAUUCAAUUAGUGCAUUCUUCCACUCACAAAAAUCAUCUACCUCUUUCAUGCUACCGGCUAUUGUCACAAUACUAAGUGGUAAACCGCCACAUUUCUCAACAAUUUUGUCGACAAUGUCCUUUAAAUUUUGAUCUUGUACAACUCUACGCCCCACGUGAUCUAAGAAUAAGUUCAUGGACUCAUUCUUUGGAAGCAGUUGCACUUUGACCACCUCACAACCCAUAGACUUACAGACCUCAAUCGAUCUGCUAGUGAGUACAACUUUCCUUCCCAUACCUAAUGUUGGUUCAAGGAUUCCCAAAUCUAAUAGAGAAAAUCGUUUCCAAACAUCAUCUAAGAUCAACACAUAUCUCUUUUCCUCCAAAAUAUCCUUUAAUUUUGCAGCUCGUUGCAAUACAUCCGUUGGAAGAGCUUGUUUCAAAGAAUUUGCAAUAUCUUCUUGCAAUUUGAAAAUAUUCAAUUCUUUUGAUACGGUGACCCAUAUCACUUGAUCAAACAGAUUAUCCUUCAACAAUUGAUUAUUGAUAUGCUUCAUAAUGGUAGUUUUCCCUAUGCCACCCAUUCCACAUACUCCAAUCAUUCUAACCUUAUCACCCAUCAAAUACUUCCAAAUUUGUUCUUUUACAUCGAUUUCACCUUCUAGAUUUGGUGUUAGUAAUGUCACCCCAGUGGCUGGAGGCCCAUCAACUGCCACACCAUCAGGGAAACUACCUUGUUGGUAAAUUUUGUUUACCUUUUCAAUAUUUUCGCAAACAAAACUUCCUAGAUGACCACGUGACAAGAAUGAAACAGAACGGAACUCCUCUUCGAUGGUUUUCACUUCAUUGCCUACAUUUUCUACAUCUUUGAGCCAGUUCGCCACUUCUUUCUUCAUCUUUUUCCCACAACGUUCCUCUGCUUCCAUUUUUAAUUCAAGGUCUCGCUUUCGAGAAUUUAGACUAUUUACAUUUCCUCGAAGCUCAUUCAUAUAAUCUUCAAGUUUCCGAUGAUGAUUUAUGUAUGGACCCCCAAAGCUCCUUAUCACUUCAACAAAUGACAAUAUCCAAUCCAUAUUAUAAGCUCACUGCAAUUUAAAAACCCAACGUAUGUUAAGAUUCUUGCUUCACUUGUUAUGUUUGAGUAUAACAAAGAUAAAAUUGUUAAUGAAGCUUUGUUUCAAUGGUAAGGAAGAUGUGUAAGUUCGAUAUUACUUUUAUGCUAGUUAUUUAUUUAUUUAUUUUAUUGAUAAUUUGUUCAUUAUUUUUUACACUGAACGUAAUCAUUUGUUUUAUUAUGACUGUAAUUUGUACUUGUUCAUGUAAUAUAAAAAAAUAUAUAUAUAAAAAAGCAUUUUUGUUUUUAACUAAAAUUCUGAAUUUCUGGUGUUUGAUUAAUUAGUAAUGAGUUGUUUAAUUACUAUAUUUCUUAAAUUCUGUUUUAGAAUAUCGGGUGAAGCAUCUGUAAUACUUUUAUAAACCAUUACCAAAUGUUUUAUUCCUUCUACCUUAUUUUUUAUAUUUUCCUUCAAAAUUUCCUUAAUAUUCCACUUUCAAGCAAAACUAAGUAAAUAUAAACCAUAAAUAAUUAAUAAAUGAUUUAUUUUUCUUUCUCCCCUGUUGAUAACUAUCAAAAAUUCUUGGAUAUUAAUUACAUCAUCAAUAAAAGGAGGGAUAAAGAAGAAACACUAAUUUUCAAUAAAGAUAAACAUCAAAGGCACUAAAGAAUAUUAAUUAAUAUUUUUUUGAACAGUUCUAAAAAAUUUCAAUUAUGGAUUAAUAUAAUCUAAAUAUAAGUAAGGAAGUUUGUGAAAACAACAAUAUAUCCCACAAAGACAUUAAGAAAUAAUUGCAGGAAUAAAUUGUGAGAGUAAUGACCUUCAGGAUAUAUACCUGGCUUGUUCUUCAAAUUAUUCGGAAAGAUGAAACCCAAAGGUCAGUUAAAUGAUCCACAAACCUCCUUGUCUCUUUGUUAAGCACAACCUUCUUAGGCAGAAGAAAGAAGCUGGCAUAAAAUUAACAAGGAAAAUUAGUAGUGUUAAUAAAAGUGAAAAUCUAAUGUGGUAUAGUCUUCAGAGUUAUUUGCCUAAAUAAGAAAAUAGAGGACACAAAACAAAGAACCAAAAUAAUUAAGUGGAAGGAAAGAUGAUGAAUUUAAGAUUCCAGAAAACAUGAACCCAAAUCUAUAUUAAACAGUUUAAUUACCUGGUCAAGUGAGGUAGAUGAGGUGGUACUUGUAUCCUUAGAGGGUCUUAAGUCUGUGAAAGCAGGAAACUAAGAUCUCUGUUAAAUUUGUGAAGAAAACAGCAACAAGCAGAUCUCCUCCCAAACUAUUAUCUAUGAGAAGAAAAUGAAUAAUGAAGCACAUGAAUUAUUGAAAAGUGGACAAGGUAAAUAUUUAUGUGGAAACUAAAAUAAAUGCCCAACUUGUGUUGGAAGGUAUGGUAAGAUGAAUUUAUGUCAUAAGUUAAGAUUCUGAUUAAUUACUGCUACCAAAGAUAAACAUAAAUCACACAAAUAUAAACAGUUUACCUGGUUCACGGAGACAGUGAACUGAUUCUUCUGUCGUUAGAAGGUCUUUGUUAAAUUUGAGAAGCAAGCACACUCAGGAAAUAUAGCAGCAAUAAGCAGAUGAUCUCCGUGAGAAGAGAAUCGAUGAAUUGUGAAGCUAAAAGAAUUAAGAGCUGGCAAGUCAAUGCAAAGUCGUCGCACAAAUUGUACAUUCACUUUCCUUGAAGUUGUUUCACAGUAAUGCAAAUGUAAAUUCACUUUCCUUGAAGUUGUUUCACGGUAAUGCAAAUGUGAAUAGAAGAAAAACUGACAAAGUAGGACUGAAUUAUGGGGCCACUUGUCCUACUUUCCACUCCUUCAUUAUUGUCCUUCUUGUCUUCUGUUUGGCAAUAAUGCAAGUAUGAAUUUAACAGAUGCCCUGGAUUAAGAAACUUAUAACUUUAAUAGAAGUUUAUAAUUUAAGAAGUGAAUUAGUCUAACCAAAAAACUGAACAAUUAUUUUUUUGUUGCUGAUAACAAAGGUUUGAUUAUACACAGAAUGUAAUAAGUUAUGAUCUCCUAAAUUUAGUCCAUCUUAUAAGUGCUUGAAUUCAUAUAUACUAAUGUCCUCAGUCUUGAAUUCUUUUCUUAUUGCUGAUAACAAUGGUUUACUUAUGUUCAGAAUGAAAUAGGUUAUGAUCUCUUAAAUGGAGUCCAUUUUAUAAGGAGACAGGAAAGAAAGAGCCCUGUGUUUGAUGGCAGUGAGGCAACCAGAUUGAUUUUCCACUAAUUAGCCACAUCAGAUUACUAUGUAUAGCCACUAAGUCAAGUGAAGCAACGAUCUCCUAUCAAGAAAAUAACAAACAGCACAUCUCCUGGCAAAUUAACUCAUCUAUAAUGACAAGAGAAUGAAUUAAUAAUUUAAAAGUGGGCAAGUCAAUGCAAGUCAUGAUGUUGGUUUCGGGGUCACUUCCCUUAAAGCUGCUUUAAAAUAAAGCAAAUAGGAAUCGAAUAAAAGAUGAUAACGUGAGAGUGAAUACUGCUUCAUAUUUCUUAAAGACACAAUCAUGUAAGCUAUUUCGUUCAGUGCCUGGAUCAUAUGUAUGCACAUGUGCAUGCAUAGGACCAACUUUAAAACGAGCCCUGUCAAUCAUAGAUUAUAUCAUUCGUGAUAUAAUCUGAUGAAUAACAGGUGAUAUAAUCUGAUGAAUAACAGGUCAUUGCCAAUAUCACAAGAGUUAUUGAUAAAAACUAAAACUUGGGAAAUGUUGACAAGUAUUUGUAUAUUUAUACUAUACACAGAAAAGACUCAAGAAGGUCUUUGUUAAAUUUGAGAAACAAGCACAGUCAAGAAAAAUAGCGGCAAUAGCAACAAGCAGAUGAUUUCAGUGAGAAGAGAAUCCAAUAAUUAUGAAGCAAUAAGAAUUACAAGUCAGCAACUCAAUGCAAAGUCGUCGCAGAAGCUGUAAAGUAACUUCCCUUGAAGCUGUUUCACAAUACUGCAAAUGUGAAUUGAAGAAAAACUGACAAAGUAGGACUGAAUUAUGGGGCCUACUCUCCUCCAUCAUUGUCCUUCUUGACUUCUGUCGCGAUAAAGAAAAUAUGAAUUGAACAAAAACUGACAGACUAGUAUUAUUGUCCUCGCAACUUUCUUUCACAAGGGCACCCAUUUUUAUGUCCUAAGGCAAAGACCAAAAUUAUCUGGGAACAAUCAAAGAAAGUUGUAUGUCCUUUGCUACUUGCUAGCUAUCUUGACUAAUAUUGUAUGUAACACUUAUUAUUUUCUAUAAAUUUUUACAUAAUAACAAAUUUGAUGUAAAGUUCAUUAGUUAAUGGUACGUUAAUUCACUUGAUCGAUAACUAAUUAAAAUGUGAAAAGUGUAAUUUUAUUAAUUCCGUAGAAUUAUUUUAGUGAAGUUUCUAAGUAUAUCAUCUAAUCCGGUAUCUAGCAUCAUUAUUUCUACUUUUUUUUUUCCUUUUGUAUAAGUAUAUCGAUAACCAACAAUUAUUUUCAGGGUUGUUUAACAUACUAUGGCCACUGUCAUGCAUUGCUAUGUCUAGUCUAUAAUUCAUGGAGGAAUCCCUCCUCGGUUCAUUUCUCUAUUUUACUCUAUUCUUUCAAUUUUGCAGUCUUCAUGAUAUAAGAAGCAAUAGAAAAAAUAAUUUUGGAAUUUUGAGUCUUCCAAAUGAUCAAAAUUACACACACUACAACAAAUUUGACUUAAAACAGCACAUUUUAUAAAUGUGUUACUAAAAAUAUUUUUAAUAACACUUUUUUUAUGUUUUUUAGAACAGCUUUUUAGAUCUAAUUUUACUAUAUACAUUUUUAGAUGCAUUAUCAAUAAAAUGUAACAAUAGAAAUUAUAUACACUAACAAAUGUUGCAUUUUACUGUACAAAAAAUAUAUCGUCCAAACAAGUGUGGUUAAAACUUAAUUUUUUUGCUAUUACAUCAAACACUCAAAUAUUUCAACAUCUUAUCUUCUCACACUUUUGACCCGUUAAUUCAUUUAAUGCAUCCUUCCACUCACAAAUAUAUGUCAUUUACUCCAUGCUACCUAAUAUUGUCAGAAUGGCGUGUCUUUGCCAAAUACUUCUAAUAGGCCCUAACUGAUUAGGCAAAACAUAUCUUCAAAUUGGAAUAAUUAAGGGAUUGGACUUAUCUACAAGAACCAACAUCUGAAGUUGCAAGGAAUAUAAUCUUACUCCAAAAUGGAAUUUGUAAUUAUAGAGUCUUACAAAUGCUAAUUACAUAGCACAAAUUAAUGAUCAGAUAAUGCAGUCUUCCUAGAUGGAUGAUUUGAAUAUGAGAAUUAUGAGCUGAGUACAGUGGAGAUUUUUCCUCACAUUUUUCUAUAAUAUUAUUUAUGAGCAGCCUUAGCUUCAUAUAUUAUCAAUUAGUGCAUGGGAAGCUUUGAAGAACAUUAUGAGACAAUUAGUAAGUAUUCAUAACUAUAUAGAAAAGAAAGGAUAGCUUCUAUAUGAAGCAUUUUGCUUGCAAAAUACAUGCAGGGUGCCACAUGAUUGGAUAUUUCAGUUGUAUGGAUAUUUGAAGUCCUAGGAUAGCAAUUGUUUGGGAAGAAAGAAUUUCUGAGAAACUUUCCUCAAUGUUGACAGGGACUUUUCAUAUCAUCUGUUAUGACAAUUUGACUUCCACUAACCCUCACCACUUUCCCCAUUUUUUUGGGUAAUAAAAAGAAGUUGAUUUUUUCCAACUUAAAUUGAGGUAUUUGACAGGCUACUGAUGAUCUAAAAGACUUCACUAUCCAAUUGCAUGGGCCUCAGGGCACAAUUUGAACAUCAAAUACAAAAUUCAACCUGGUUGAGCUCCCAACUGUGUAAAGAAAAAAUCAAUUAAAUAUUGUUCAAUUCUUGCUUGUAACGUCUGCAGAUUGUAUAUGAGACUGAUGGAGUAAUAAAUAUGUCUAACCCAGAGAAAUCAUGGAUUAAUCAACUCGUUCUUUUAAAAGGGAAGGCAUCACAUUAGUUCAUCUACUAACUAAACCUUUACAAGCGGAAUAUUGGAUUAAAGUUAAAACAAGGGAUCUCUCUUUGAUAUAAACUAGUCCUAAAGAAUUUAUAGGAUAAUUGAGAGAUUGAAUACUGAAAUUGAAGAAGUCCAAACUUUUGUUUGGCAUAUAUUCAUAAACCAGCAUCUUUUCCUCUCCUUCAAUGCAACAUCCCAGGAGCUUUACAAGAUUUCGAUGUUGAAGCUUGGCAAUUAGUGCUACUUCAUUUUUGAACUCAGUUAAACCUUGUCCAGAGCUUCUUGAAAGCCUCUUCACAGCGAUCUCUUGUCCAUCUACCAGGUUACCCUGAAAAAAAUGUACUUUAAAGAGUUGUAACUUUGUUCUAAACAUACUUCAUACUUUGUCUUCUGAUCAAUUUCACCAGAAUGUUGCAAAUUUACCCUGUAUGCAUGCCCAAAACCACCUUGUCCUAGUUUGUUGUCAAUGGAGAAAUCAUUGCUUGCUUCGGAUACUAAUGAUAAGUCGAAUAACUGGACUUCUGAGUCUUCGCUUUGCCCUUCAGUGCUCCUGUCCUUUAUCACAUGGUUUUCUCUAGCCCCUGAAACAUUUUAGUACAUACUAACAUUAGCCAUAGAAGGCUAUAUCAUGUUGGUCAAUUGUAUUUCUGAACAGACUAGGGAAGUUGGUAAUUAGUAUUCUAAAACAUAGUGAAAACAUGAUUUGUGAAAGCAAAUGGAUCAGAUAGUGUUACCUUAUAAACAGCUCCAAAACCACCUUCCCCUGGCUUGUUGUCCAUAGAAAAGCUAUGAGUAGCAAGCGCAAAUAUUGCAAGCUCCAAGUCUUCAUCCAGGCCUUGAUUUUCUGAAUCAUUUUCCUUAUUGUUUUCUGUUUCUCUGAAAUAGUAGUCAAAAUAGGCUUUUUAUUCACCAUAAAAUAUGCAUUCUAAUUGAGCUAGAUAACUGAACAUAAAACUCAUUUUUCACACCAAUAAGCAUUGAAAACUACUUAUUUUUUGAGAAAAAAAAAACAUUAUUCCAAUGAACUGGCAAACAAUCUAAUUUACUUCUUUUGAAGAAACUGCAUGUGGAUAAGUGGAUUAGGUAGCAUCACUAUUAACAAGGUAAUUUUUUUUGUUUAUUUAGCUAAGGAAUUGAAUGACAUAUUUGUGAAGGAUAUGUCAAAAUUACCUUUCAACUUUCUGCGGACUCUGUAAAUGUAAUAACUGAUUAUAAACAGCCCCAAAAGUGCAACACAGCGGUUUUGCAAUAGAUGCAACAAGCUUCAACCUUGGCUUAUCGCAUCCAAGCUUGGCUUUCUGCAUUCCAUGUGUAGCCUUGUAUCAUCAGUUUGGUUAGGAGCAAGUCCUGUGAUCAAUGAUUUCUAUUUGAGACAUUUUGGAUGGUUGACAUAUAAAAUACAAACACCAGGUGGGUUGAUCAUGCAUUGUUUUUAUGAGAUGAUGUGAUUGACUGACUCUUGAUCAAUGAACUGUACACAAAGUGCAGCAGAAAACAAUUUAUAAACAUUGAGAUUCCAGAUAAUUACUUGUAUUGAAUAAUUUCCAAUUCAUCAACCAUUUCACACCAGUAGACAUUUUCAUUAAAAGCACAAGGCACAAGCAUCAGCUGGGAAUGCAAUUACUUGAUUAUUAAAACAUAACUCAAAGCAUAGUCUUACGAACAGUAUAUAAACAGAGUUUGUAGCAUGGGAGAUGUGAGGAUACAACUCCCUAACCAACCUUUAACAUCGAUAUGGUUAUUUCAUUCUACAUGCCCACAGCAAAUGGAAAAGGAAACAAUAAUGUCUAAUCAAUCUUACUUGUUCAACAAGGAUUUGAAGGAUAACAGCUAAAUCAAUAAAUUGGCGUUGAAUUAAGUUAUAAGAUUUUGAUCACAAACAGAGGAAGUCCUCUCAUAAAUGAAUCAAACAAUAUUUAUGGCAAGUGAGGCAUGCUUGGUGCUGUUAAAGAUUUGCUUAUGAUUGAAUAAUCCUAUUAACUACUAACUUGUUCAUAAUGUUUUUAAACUAGCAUUUUUUAAAUAAUGCUAGUUUAAAAUAUGACCAUAUAUAUAUAUAUAAGAAAAAGAAUACUAUGGACCCUAAAUAUUACUUUAAUCAUUUUAUUAUAUCUUUUAACAUUUUAAUUCAUAAUAAUUUAAAGAUUUUAUUUACGUGUUAGAGUUCUCUUAUUAUUUUAUUUAUGUAUAUAGAUUUUUUUUCUUUUUAAAUUUGAAAAAAAUUUCAAACCUGGCUUGUAAUAUGUCAGUGAAAAAGAAAAUAAAGGGAUGUAGGCAAAGAGCUUAAUUAACUCUUUUGAAGAAACUGCAUGUGGAUUUGCUAGCAUCAAUAUUAACAAAGUAAUUAUUUUUUUGUUUAUUUAGCAAAGAAGCAAAAUAAGCAUAUUUGUUAAGGGUAUAUCAAAGUUACCGUUCAACUUUGCAUUGCCUCUGUAAAGGUAAUGACCGACUGUAUACAACCCCGAAAGCACAGCAUAGUGGUGUUGCAAUUACUGCAGGAAGUUUUAUCCUAGGCUUAUCUUUCAAUUCUGUAUGGCGAAAUUUGAUAAGGAAAAGCAUACAUGAACAAAAAUGAAAAAAGCAGCGAAAACAAGAGAAAAUGCAGACUCAUACCUGAUUCUGAAGCAGACACUCUUAACAUAUAGAUCCUGCCCUUUUGAUUCAAAUUGUCUGCAAUCAAUCAGAUUAUCAAACCAAAGGGCCCAACCACUACCUCUUCCUCUAUUAUCUGAACUAGUGUAUGCCAUAUAGGAAUAGUUCUGUAGAUACUUAGCCCUGCAUCCCUUGAGAUUCAUAGUUUUAGUCACCCAAGAAUGUGUAGCAUCUGGCAUUUUUAAAUCCUUUAAAUCUAAUAAAUCCAUCUCUGCUUUGGCAGUUGAAUGGCUUGUUGUGCUUACACCCUUGGCACCAGUCUGAUGAGUUCUGUCUUUUAGGGAAUUCAGGCUUAAACAUCAGCUUUCAGGGAAUUAAGGCUUGAAUCCUUUAAAAAGUGGAAGCUGAGCACCAUCACAAUUCCCUUUUGAACCACAAAGUCCAUAUCUAUCAAAGUAGUCUCUUGAAGCAAAUGACAGAAGCAUCCAAGCUUGCUUUCUGCAUUUCAUGUGUAGUCCUGUGAUCAAUGAUUUCUAUUUGAGACACUUUGGAUGGUUGACAUAUCAAAUAGAAAUGCCAGGUGGGUAGAUCAUGCGUUGUUUUUAUAAGAUGAUGUGAUUGACUGACUUUUGAUGAAUGAAGCAUACACAAAGUGCAGCAGAAAACAAAUUAUAAACAUUGAGCUUCCAGAUAAUUUGUAUUUCUCAAUAAUAUGAAGCUUAUUCCUCUAAUCAUUCUCUUCAUUGGACGAACAUAACUUCAAUGACUUACUUGUAUUAAAUGAUUUCCAAUUCAUAAACCAUUUGAGACUUUUUUUUCUCACAUCUGAUAGGUUGCAGGAUAGUCCCAAGAAUUGAUCACCAAGUUCAACAGGGUGCCUUCCUUCCUCCCAUAAUCUCCGAGCCUGCAGCAAAUUGAAAACCUUUUAGUCAUUUUAUUAUAUCUUUCAACAUUUUAAUUCAUAAUAAUCGAAGUAUUUUAUUCAAGCGUUAGAGUUUUAUUUAUAGUAGUAAUUAAUUAUUAUUAUUAUUUUUGUAGAUAGAGUGUGUUUUUUUUUCUUUCAAAAUUUGAAAAAAAUUAAAACCAAGUUUGAAAAAUGUGAGUGAAAAUGAAAAUAAAGGAAAGAGAUGGGCAGGUGUAAUAGGAGGGGAUGUAGGAGGUGUUAGAUGGCAAUUGGUGGAGAAAUGCAGAUUGAAGGGUGUUGAGUUUUAGAUUUUGGUAUUAUUCAUAAAACUAAAGACUUGGUUUUGUUUUGAUAUUAAAAAAAAGUAAUUAUUUAGCAAAUGAGAAAUUAAGAGAUAAAAACUCACAAUUAAUGUUUGUGGUUCUUAACAAGAAGCAAGAGCCUUAUAGCCACAUUUAAUCAAACACCUCUUCUCCAUCUCACUCUACCAAUCAAAAUAUCGAAGAAAGGGAGAAAGGACAUUCUUAGUGUGCUAUCCAACAACCCACAUCUGAUGUGAAUGCGAUUGUUAAGACCUAUAUAACAAUUCAAGUUCACCAUUACUAGCAACUUGAGCUUAAACUUUUGAGGGCUACGUGGUUUAGGCCCAAAAAGUUACUAGGCCAAUGGUUGGACUUGGGUCGUUACAAAUGGUAUCAGAACUUGCACCAGUCCGAUGUGAACUUUCACAUUGCUCUGGUGAGAUCUUGGUCCCGUGGAUGUGAUGUGUGGCCUUGAUGAGGACAUCAAGGAUUUGAGUGGGUGGGAUUGUGAUAUCCAACAUCCUACAUCUGAUGUGAAUGUGAUUGUUAAGACCUAUAUAACAAUCCAAGUCCACCAUGGACUUGGGUCGUUACACUUAGCAUCAAGUUGAUCCCAUUCCACUGAUUCCCACCAUUCUCUCGGGCCUAUUCUAAUAUAUUCUAGAGAAGGAGGAGAUGGUUUCCCAUUUUCAACAAGGGGAAGAGACAAAGGGAUCCUCUUUACUUCUGGACAUCUCUCUAUUUGAAGAUAUUGGAGAGAAUCUGCAGGAAUCAUAAGUCCACCACUGUAAAUGCUUUUCAGUUUUGGUAAAUUUCCCAAGAUUAAUGAUUUUAAUUUGGGAAGAAUAAAUGUUGUUCCUUCUUCUUUGUGAUUUUCUUCUAACGCUAUUAUUUCCUCCAUUUCUUCACAACAUUCAACGAAAAUUUUCUCUAAGUUUGGGAGGCCUUGCAACUGCUCAACUGGAAACAACUUCUUCAUCUUCGAACAAAAGCUCAUCAUCAAUAAUUUAAGAGAAGAGAAGAAGGUAGGUGGUGUUGGAGCAUGAGAGGUAGAUUCAAUUUCAACCGCUACUCCUACUCGUACUCUCACAACUUCACACAAGUUUAGCAAGUCAAGUAGUUGUAGCACCUCAAUGUUGUGAAGUGCGUUGCAAGACGGUAAUGACAAGUCAACCACACACUCCAUCCCUUCACACUCCGAAAUUUGACAUUUCUUCAAGUCAGGUGCCUUACGAAACAAAGGAAUGUGGCUUAAACAUUUGAAAUCAUUACACCUCGCAAAACAAAAAGUAUGAAGGUCAUUUGGGAGCAUUAUUUCAUCACACCUCUCUAUCUCCAAAUUUGAGACAUCAACCAUUUUCUCAAUUUCUUUGAAAUAUGGGGAAUGCAUAAUAUGAAUAUUACUAGGUGGUCCCACUUGAAAAAUGAAAGACAUAGGCCAUUUACCUUGUGUAGACUCUGCAUAUUUCUUAAACUCUUGCAUGUCACAAAUGAACAUAAAACACACUCAAGCUUCCUCAAUUUGCCUACUUCUUCCCCCCUUAAAUUUAACUGUACUAGUAAGCAUUGCAGAUGAGAAAUCUUCAGCAAUAUUCCCAUUGGUAGCUCCUUUAGAUCGCUUGACCGUAGACCAAAAUAUCUAAGGUUUUGUAACAUUUCUAUACCCUGAGGUAACUCUUCAAUUUUUGUAUUCCAAAGGUCCAAGUUUCUCAGUGCUUUGAGCUUUGCUAAUGAAGGCACAUAUUCUAACCUGAGACAAUAAGCAAGCAUCAAUGCAUUGAGAUUUUUCAAGUUAGAGAUGGAAUUAGGUAAAUCCACAAUCUCAUGAUUACGAGAAAGAUCUAGAACUUUUAGCCCAGGCAUGUGCUUAAAGAAAGAUUCUGGAAUUCUUUUUAAGCCACAUUGUUGCAAUAUCAAAGUUGACAAAUGAGGACAUUCGGGUGAUAUGUGAGGAGGGAUUUCUAUUAAUUUUGAAUUUUGCAUCAAAGAAACCUUUUCAACACUCACUGUCCAUUCUUGCUCACUUGGUAGUUCCUCCAACUGCACAUUGGCUUUUACUAUGAACUGAUGACCUUUAAUAUACAAUGCCAGGUCUCUCAAAACAUUAUGCAUCUUAACUCCUUUGUCAUUCCAAGUUGUAGCCCUUUCUAGCAAGCAAUUAUUUUGAAGCUUAUUUAAAAUGCUAUGGCCUCUAUCAUGCACUUCUUGUCUAGUCCUUAAGCCAUCAAGGAGUCCUUCAUCUAUCCAAUUUUCAAUUAAGUCAACUUCUUCAAUCACAAAAUCUUCAGGAUAUAAGGAGCAAUAUGAGAAACAAUUUUGAAUUUUUGGAUCUUUCAAAUAGUCAUAACUGAACUUCAAACGCUCAAAUAUUUCAACAUCUGAUCCUUUCACACUUUUCACACGCUCUUCUAAUUCAGUUAAUGCAUUUCUCCACUCACAAAUAUCAUUUACCCCCUUCAUGCUUCCAGCUAUUGUGACAAUGUUAAGUGGUAAACUGCCACAUUACUCAACAAUUUUGUUGACAAUGUCUUUUAAAUUUUGAUCUUGUACAACACUAUGCCCCACAUGUUUUAAGAAUAAGUUCGUGGACUCUGUCUUUGAAAGCGGUUGCACUUUGAUCACCUUACAAUCCAUAGAUUGAUAGACCUUAAUCGAUCUGCUAGUGAGUACAACUUUCCUCCCCAUAUCUAUUAUUGGUUCAGGGAUACCCACAUCCAAUAGAGAAAACCGUUUCCAAACAUCGUCUAAGAUCAAAACAUAUCUCUUUCCCUCCAAAAUAUCUUUUAAUGCUGAUGCUCGUUGCAAUUCAUCAUCUUUUAAAAGAGAUUGUUUCAAAGAAUCUGCAAUAUCUUUUUGCAAUCUAAAAAUAUUCAAUUCUUUUGAUACAGUGACCUAUAUCACUUUAUCAAAGUUCUCACUUUCCUUUAACAAUCGAUUGUUGAUAUGCUUCAUGAUGGUAGUUUUCCCUAUACCACCCAUUCCACAUACUCCAAUCAUUCCAACCUUAUUACCCAUCAAAUACUCCCAAAUUUGUUCUUUUACAUCGAUUUCACCUUCUAGAUUUAGUGUUGGUAACAUCACCCCGGUGGUUGGAGGCCCAUCAACUGCCACACCGUCGGGGAAACUACCUUUUUGGUGAAUUUCCUCUACCUUUUCAAUCAUUCGGCAAACAAAUUUUCCAAGACGACCACGUAAGAAGCAUGAAAUAGCAUGGAACUUGGAUUCAAUCUUUUCCAUUUCAGUGUUUACCUUUUCUACAGCUUCAAACAAGUACUCCACUUCUUCCCUCACCACUUUUCUGUGACGAAGCUCCUCUUCCUUUCUUGAUAUGAGGUCUCUUUUUUGGAUAUUUAAAACAUUCACUUUUUCUCGAAGAUCAUUCAUAUGUUCUUCAAGUUUUCGUUGAUGGUGUAUAUAUGUACAGGUUGGACCACCAAAGCACUUUAUCACUUCAAAAAUUGGCCCUAUAAGCUCCAUAUAAGCUAUUCCCUAGAGAUUAAAAACCAAGAUAUAUUAGAUCUCCAUAUGACAUAAGCUACUCCGUCCCUCCCUAAACUACAAUUCUAUAUUUUUCAUAUAAUAUAGAAUAUGUUAGAAAAAAAUGUUACUAAUUAAAAUUUUUUUACCAAUUCUUAAGAAAAAACAUAAUAUUUUUGAAAACAUUAUUAAAAACAAGAAGUUUUUGUUUCAUCAUCUUUGAGUAUAAUAUUUACAUUUCCAACAAUAUUUAUAUCUAGAUGAAUGUAUUCAUUUUUCCCCUUAAAAAACCAUCGCAAAUUCUUGAAUAUAUUAUAUCUAUAUGGUUCCUAGUUUUGAUCAUUACAACAUUAAUAAAAGGAUGAUGAGAAUGGAGAAAUCAAUUUACUAUAAAUAUAUAAAUGACAAAAUUUUUUAUAAAAAAAGGAAUCCAUUUAAAGUUGAUAACUUGCGUUUCUAACAUGUAUACAUAUUAAAUAAAUGUACCUGUGAAAGAAUCACAGGUACUAGACGAAAAGUAUCCAGUUCUUUAAUAUAUUUAUUUAAAUUGUAUUAUUCUGUAUGACAGAUUCUCCUUUCAAGUAUUCUGUUAUAAACUUUUGAAAUUAAUCUGAAUUUAUAAUUUACAAAGAGAAAAUUAUGUACCCUAGUCUUGAAAUCUUUCCUUGUUGCCGAUAUAGAAAGAUUUGACAAUGUACAUAAUGACAUGAAGUGCCCUGUUUUUUGAUGGAGCUUUAGCAUCAAACUUCAAUUAGCUGAGUUAACCAGAUUGUUAGUUCCUUGAUUGAUUUUCCAAUUAACGAGCCAUAUCAGAAUAUUAGACUUGAGAAAUGGAAUUUUGACUUCUAAGGUCCUAAAAAAGAUUAAUUCACAAAAUACAUAAAAAUAAAAUGUACAAGAUGACGAUGAAAAUCAUUUGUGUAAAGAUAUUGAUGCUGUAUGACAUAUAAUUUUGCUUUUGGUCAAAUAUUGAAAUAUCGUAAGGAACAACGCGUUGAGCUUCCAACAAUGUGUCAGUCAUUUCAUUGGUUGAAGAAGACUUUAAAUGUUUUAACCCCAAAUUACUAUUCAUAACACGUUUUCAUUAAAUAUAUCAGAGAUCAGCUUUUUUCGUUUUGUCCCAAUUUUCUUGGUUUUCACUUUUCAGUGAAUUAAAGACCUAAAAAAUCUUUGUCAUCAAUGGAUAACAUCAUUGGUGAUUACAUUCGAGCCUUCUAUUAAGUUUAUGUAGCAAAUACAAAUAAGUAAUGGCUUAUCAUGCAUUUUUAGUUUUGUUAUGAUGUGAGGAUUAUAUGAGUCUUCCUCAAUGAAACAUCUGAAAAAGUGCAUGAGAAAAAAAUCAAAACAAUUUACAACUGAUGAGAUUGCACAUUACUCUUUUUUCUGAUUUAUAUGAAGCUUCAGUGCAAUCAUCUUGUCAAUUCUUUGUGAGACAACUAUAGAUAACAGUACCCCCAAAAAGGCACUUGCAGGGUGCUAAGCUUAAACUGGGACUGAACCGUUGGUAUCAAUGCAUAAGGUACAAAACAUACUGAUCAUCCACAGCAUCUAAUAAUGGCUUGGAGAUGAAAGAGUUAAGUAUAUAAUAAUCUGAAAAUUAUAUUUGUUAAUUUUUGUUAAUUGUUAAGUUUAUUUAAAAAUUGAGAUUAUUAUCAUUAUUAAAUUAUUUAUAAUUAUGCUAGUUAAUUCUUUUAAGUAAAUUAUUAAAAAUGAUUCCUUUGAAUAAUUUUCAGAAUUUAUUUAUAUAAUUUUCAUAUAAAUUUUUUCCAUUAAGUUGUUUUAUAUUUUUAGCAAACGUUGGACUUCUCGUUUGAAUGUUUUAUAGACAUUAUCUUCAACUCUUCGCCUCCUCAAACGCCAAAAUACAAACUCAGCCACUGCAUAUAACCACUGCAGAACAUUAUCAAAAGCAAUAAAUAUGUGAGGAUUUGUAGACAUUAUGAAAAUAAAGUGACAUUUACUAAGUACCAACCACUCUUUUUCCCAUCAGUUUGGUCUCCUCCAAAAGUUCUAGCCAGUCCAAAACCUGAAAUUUUUGGAUUCAUAUCACUACCAAUCACAACGUUACUAGCUUUGAGAUCUCUAUAAAUAAAAAAAAACUUUCGAUUUGCUAGCUUUACUAUUAACAAAGUAAUUUUUUUUUUGUUUAUUUAGCAAAGGAACGAAAUAAGCAUAAUUAUGAAGGAUAUAUCAAAGUUACCAUUCAACUUUGCACGACCUCUGUAAAGGAAAUGACUGACGCUAAACGGCCCGAAAAGCACAACACAGUGGUGUUGCAAUUAAUGCAGGAAGUUUUAUCCUAGGCUUAUCUUUCAAUUUUGUAUGAUGAAAUUCGAUAAAGAAAAGCAUACAUGAAGAAACACAAAAAAAGCUGCGAAAUCAAGAAAAAAUGUAGACUCAUACCUGAUUCUGAAGCAGACACUUUAACAUAUAGAUCCUGCCCUUUUGAUUGAAAUUGUUUGUAAUCAAUCAAAUGAUGAAACCAAAGGUCCCAACCACUGCCUCUUCCUCUAUUAUCUGAACUAGUGUAUGCCAUAUAGGAAUAGUUCUGUAGAUACUUAACCCUGCAUCCCUUGAGAUUCAUAGUUUUAGUCACCCAAGAAUGUGUAGCAUCUGGCAUUUUCAAAUUUCUUAAAUCUGAUAAAUCCAUCUCUGCUUUGGCAGUUGAAUGGCUUAUUGUGCUUACACCCUUGGGACCAGUCUUAUGAGUUCUAUCCUUCAGGGAAUUCAGGCUUAAACAUCAUCUUUCAGGGAAUUAAAGCUUGAAUCCUUUAAAAAGUGGAAGCUGAGUACCAUCACAAUUCCCUUUUGAACCACAAAGUCCAUAUCUGUCAAAGUAGUCUCUCGGAGCAAAUGAGGAAAGCAUCCAAGCUUGCUUUCUGCAUUUCAUGUGUAGUUAUGUUAUCAAUUAUUUCCAUUUGAGACACUAUGGAUGGUUGACACAUAAAAUAGAAAGACCAGGCUGGUCGAUCAUCCGUUGCUUUUAUAAGAUGAUGUGGUUGACUGACUUUUGAUGAAUGAAGUAUACACAAAGUGCAGCAGAAAACAAAUUAUAAACGUUGAGGUUCCAGAUAAUUCGUAUUUCUCAAUAAUAUGAAGCUUAUUCGUCUAAGCAUAAUAUAUAUAUUUAGAGUAACCACACUAAUCAUAUCAACUUAAACUUACUCAUAAUUUGCAUGCAACAUAAAAUCACCAAAUCUUAUAUAGAUAAUUUAAACUAUUAAUCUUGUUUAAUUAUAUAUGUAUUCAUCAUUUGAAGUGCUUUAAAAUAUUAAUCAUGAUUAAUUUCAAUAUCUUGGUAUUGAUACAUCACUUCCCAAAUAUGCUUUCCUUUUUUCUUUUUUUCCAUAUAUAGACACUCUUUAAUUAGGAGAUUGUAGCCAGCUAGAUACCAUUGUUGCCAGUCCAAGAGGUGACACUUUGGAGGUUGAAUAGCAUUUUAUUUUCGGGUUUUUUAGUCUUGAGAUGAGUGGCAACAUUAAUUCCUUUGGAUCUGUUGAAUUAGCUUUUGUAUAUAAAAGAAGGUAUCCCUCCUCAAACAUGGCAGAUCCCCUUUCAAACCCAUUAUUUUAAAGAAAAGAAAAUGCUAAUUUAAUAGAAUAGUUGCCAACUAGGGACAAGCUCCAUUGAUGUGACAUUAAUUUUGGUAUAUUCUAACACUUGUUGACUAGAUUCAAUUGGACAGGAUUUUUAAUUUGGAUGAAAUUUAAGGGUAGUGAUUAAACAAUGGAAGUGACAUUGGAGGUUCUAAGUCCCUUUCACCUAAGGGAGAAAUGAGUUUGUUCAAUUGACACAGCUUUGGUACAUACAGAAAGUAAGCUAAUACCAUAGCCAUAUUUCUCAGGUGACUUGCAACAAAUUUGAGACUGAAGUAUGGCAAAAUAUUGGGUAUUUGUAUAAAUUACAAUACAAAUAAAGAAAAAAAAUGAAAGAGACUAAAUAGAAAGGGGAAGUGGAAAGGUCCCCAAAAUCAAUUAAUUGCAAGUGGAAGGAGCAAAGCCCAACUUUGUUGGCAACAAGGUCAUGUUCCCGCAGAUGAUUUUGUUGCAGGGUGUUGUAAAUGAUAUUUACUUCCAGGCUCUGUCUUUUGGCAAAUAGAAGCUGAUAAUGGUUCUCUGGAUCAAGCUCAAAUAUAGCUCCAUCUUCAAUAUGAAUUGCAAAUCCUGGCACUGAUGAGAAAAUCAAGCCUUGUUAUUGCUUUUAAUAAAAGCAAAUAAAAUUUGAAGGGUGUUCAGUUGGGCAAUUACUAGUUCCCAAGUAACAGUUUUAACUGCUACUUUCUUUUACCAAAUUCCCAAGAAACUAUUCUUAGAGCUUCUAGGACUAAGGAACAGACUGGGAGGAGGUGAAGAUAUCGAUUCCAUCAGUAAAACAGUGUUGGUGAACAUGAAAGACAGAAUGUCUUUUUGUUUCAAAUUUCAGAGCUUGUAAGAACUCAUAGAAAAACUUUUCAGUUUGGCAGAUUUUAGAGAGCAAACAUGUUUAAACUGAUGAUCGUUGACUAGUAUGCAAGUCUUCCUUGAAAAGACCAAACUUUUCAGUUUGCGGAGAACUCUUAUUUCUAAUUUUUAUGAUGCUUCAGUGUAGUCAUCUUGUAUUGUCUCUGCGAAUCAUAUAUAUAUACAUAUGACCCCCAAGCAGGCACUUGCAGGGCAUUAAGCUCAAACUGGGACUAAACCACUGGUAUCAAAGCAUAAGAGACAUAAACAUACUGGUCGAUAACUUUUAAUAAUGGCUUGGAGAUGAAAGAGCUAAGUAUACAGUUUGUCAAUUAUCGAGCAUCUAGUACUGACAGAGUUAUUUCAUUUGUGGAAGAAGAUACAUGCUUGUCUGAUGAAGAAUCUUCUUCAAGUGGAUUUUUUUAAAACAAAAUACCAGCUUGUUUGGGGUGUGGCAAUUCAGUUUCACUUCCCAACAUCAGAAUCACAAAUGACGUACUUGGCCUCUCCUCAGGAUGCUGUUGUAAACUUAAAAGACUGAUAAUGGAAGUAUUGUAUCACUUCUGAUAGAUUGCAAAGACUCUCCUAAGCAUUCUUCAACAGGUUUUAAAGGACUGUCUUAUUUCCAUAAUCUCCAUGCCUGCAGCAAAUUGAAACCCUUUUAGGUUUUAUCAAUCCAAGAUAAGCAACAAAAAAUUGAUUAUAAAAAUAUCUGCUGAAACUGACAUGUUCAACAAGGUUGCCGCUCUGUGAUGGAUGGUAAAGCCCUCUAUAUUUUCUUCCCACUUAUUAUCUCCAGCAAUAAUAUACCAAAGCUAAAGAGAUCUGAUUUUACUGAAAGCAGUCCAACAAUAGCAUAUUCAGUGCCAUAUAACCUCUGCAGAACAUUAUCAAGAGAAAUAACUAUCUGAGCAUAUGUAGACAUUAUGAAAAUAAAGUGACACUUACUAAGUUCCAACCACUCUUGCAGUGUUCCCUUCAGUUUGGUUUCCUCCAAAGUUCUAAGCAAUCCAAAAUCUGAAAUUUUUGGAUUCAUCUCACUAUCAAGCAGAACGUUACUAGCUUUGACAUCUCUAUGAAUGAAAAAAAACAUAUUCAAAUGAAAUGGCAAAGAAUCUAAUUAACUCUUUUGAAGAAACUGUGUUUGGAUUUGUUAGCAAAGGAACAGAAUAAGCAUAUUUGUGAAGGAUAUAUCAAAGUUACCAUUCAACUUUGCACGACCUCUGUGAAGGAAAUGACUGACAGUAAACAGCCCGAAAAGCACAACACAGUGGCGUUGCAAUUAAUGCAGGAAGUUUUAUCCUAGGCUUAUCUUUCAAUUCUGUAUGAUGAACUUUGAUAAAGAAAAGCAUACAUGAACAAAAACAAAAAAAGCAGCGAAAACAAGAGAAAAUGUAGACUCAUACCUGAUUCUGAAGCAGACAUUAUUAACAUAUAAGUCCUGCUCUUUUGAUUGAAAUUGUCUAUAAUCAAUCAGAUGAUGAAACCAAAGGGCCCAAACACUACCUCUUCCUCUGUUAUCUGAACUAGUGUAUGCCAUAAGGGAAUAGUUCUGUAGAUACUUAGCCUUGCAUCCCUUGAGUUUCAUAGCUUUAGUCACCUAAGAAAGUGUAGCAUCUGGCAUUUUCAAAUCUUUUAAAUCUGAUAAAUCCAUAUCUGCUUUGGCAGUUGAAUGGCUUAUUCUGUGCUUACACCCUUGGGGUCAGUCUGAUGAGUUCUAUCUUUCAGGGAAUUCAGGCUUAAACAUCAGCUUUCAGGGAAUCAAGGCUUGAAUCCUUUAAAAAGUGGAAGCUGAGUACCAUCACGAUGCCCUUUUGAACCACAAAGUCCAUAUCUGUCAAAAUAGUCUCUUGGAGCAAAUGAGAAAAGCAUCCAAGCUUACUUUCUGCAUUUCAUGUGUAGUCCUGUGAUCAAUGAUUUCUAUUUGAGACACUUAGGAUGGUUGACAUAUAAAAUACAAAUACCAGGUGGGUAGAUCAUGCGUUGUUUUUAUAAGAUGAUGUGAUUGACUGACUUUUGAUAAAUGAAGUAUACAGAAAGUGCAGCAGAAAACAAAUUAUAAACAUUGAGGUUCCAGAUAAUUUAUAUUAUUUAAUGAUUUGAAGCUUAUUCCUCUAAUCAUUCUCUUCACUGGACAAACAUAACUUCAAUGACUUACUUGCAUUAAAUGAUUUCCAAUUCAUGAACCAUUUGAGACCAGUGUGGAUGUGUUGUCUCACAUCUGAUAGGUUGCAGGAUAGUCCUAAGAAUUGAUCACCAAGUUCAACAGGGGUGCCUUCGUUCCUCCCAUUAUCUCCAAGCCUGCAGCAAAUUGAAAACCUUUUAGUCAUUUUGUUAUAUCUUUCAACAUUUUAAUUCAUAAUAAUCAAAGAAUUUUUGAAACAUGCGAGUGAAAAUGAAAAUAAAGGAAACGGGUGGGAAGGUGUAAUAGGAGGGGAUGUAGGAAAUGUCACAUAGCAAUUGGCGGAGAAAUGCAGAUUGAAGGGUGUUGAGUUGGAGAUUUAUUUUUAUAUUAAAAAAUAAAAAAUUAAAGACUUGGUUUUAUUUUGAUAUUAAAAAAGAGUAAUUAUUUAGCAAAUGAGAAAUUCGGAGAUAAAAAUAAACUCACAAUGUUUGUUUGCAGUUUUUAAUAAGAAGCAAGAGCCUUGCAACCACAUUUAAUCAAACACCUCUUCUACAAUUCAGACAUAAAGCUAGCCUUGUACCAUCCAAAAAAUAUUCAACAAAGGGAGAAAGGACAUCCUUAGCAUCAGGCUGAUCCCAUUCCACUGAUUCCCACCAUUCUCUCGGCCAUACUGUGAUUCCUUUUAGAGAAGGAGGAGGAGAUGGUUUCCCAUUUUCAACAAGGGGAAGAGACAAAGGGAUCCUCUUUACCGCUCUACACCCCGAUAUGACAAGAUGUUGGAGAGAAUCUGCAGGAAUCAUAAGUCCACCGCUACAAAUGCUUUUCAAUUUUGGUAAGUUAAUCAAGAAUAAUGAUUUUAAUUUGGGAAGAAUAAAUGUUGUUCCUUCUUCUUUCUGAUUUUCUUCUGAUGCUAUUAUUUCCUCCAUUUCUUCACAACCUCGGACAUAAAUUUCCUCUAAGUUUUGGAGGCUCUUCAACGGCUCGAUUGUAAGCAACUUCUUCACCCUCGAACAACCAAUCACAUAUAAUUGUUUAAGAGAAGAGAAGGCAGGUGGUGUUGGAGCAUGAGAGGUAGAUUCAAAUUCAACCGCUACUCCUACUUCUACUCCUACUCUCACAACUUCACGCAAGUUGCGUAAGAAACAUAGUUGUAACACCUCAAUGUUGUGAAGUGCGUCGCAAGACGAUAAUGACAAGUCAACCACACACUCUAUCCCAGAACACUUCCUAAUUUGACAUAACUUCAAGUCAGGUGCCUUAUGAAACAAAGGAAUAUUGCUUAAACAUUUGAAAUCAUUACACUCCUCAAUAAGUAAAGGGUGAAGGUCAUUUGGGAGCACUAUAUCAUCACACCUCUCUAUCUCCAAAUUUCUAAAUUCAACCUUUUUCUUAAUUUCUUUGAAAUCUGGGAAUCCCCGAUAUAAAUACCCUUAAGUGGUCCCACUUGAAAAAAGAAAGAUGGAGGCCAUUUACCUUGUGCAGACUUUACAUAUUUCUUAAACUCUUGCAUGUUGCGAAAUGAACAUGAAACCCACUCAAGGUUCCUCAAUUUGCCCACUUCUUCCCCUCUUAAAUGUAACUCUCCCAGCAAGCAUUGCAGAUGAGAAAUCUUCACUAAUAUUCCUAUUGGUAGCUCCUUUAGAUGCCUUGACCUUAGACGAAAAUAUCUAAGGUUUUGUAACAUUUCUAUACCAUGAGGAAGCUCUUCAAUUCCUGUACCAUAAAGGUCCAACUUUCUCAGUGCUCUGAGCUCUGCUAAUGAAGGCACAUAUUUUAACCUGCCACAACUAGCAAGUAUCAAUGCAUCGAGGUUUUUCAAGUUAGAGAUGGAAUUGGGUAGAUCCUCCAAGUAAUAAUUACUAUAAAGAUUUAGAACUUUUAGUCUAGGCAUGUGCUUAAAGAAAGAUUCAGGAAUACUUUUUAAGCCACAUUGUUGCAAAAUCAAAGUUGACAAAUGAGGACACUCAGGUGAUAUGUGAGGAGGGAUUUCUAUUAAUUUUGAAUUUUGCAUCAAAGAAACCUUCUCAACACUCACUGUCCAUUCUUGCUCACUUGGGAAUUCUUUCAAUUGCAUACCUGCUUUUACCAUGAACUGAUGACCUUUAAUAUACAACGCCAUGUCCCUCAAAACAUCAUGCAUCUUAACUCCUUCUUUGCGACUCCUAGUUGUAGCCCUCUCUAGCAAGCAAUUAUUUUCAAGCUUAUUUAAAAUGCUAUGGCCUCUGUCAUGCAUUUCUUGUCUAGUCCUUAAGCCAUCAAGGAGUCCUUCAUCUAUCCAAUUUUCAAUUAAUUCAACUUCUCCAAUCACAAAAUCUUCAGAAUACAAGGAGCAAUAUAAGAAACAAUUUUGAAUUUUUGGAUCUUUCAAAUAGUCAUAACUGAACUUCAAACGCUCAAAUAUUUCAACAUCCGAUCCUUUCACACUUUUCACACGCUCUUUUAAUUCCAUUAAUGCAUUUCUCCACUCACAAAUAUCAUUUACCCCCUUCAUGCUUCCAGCUAUUGUGACAAUGCUAAGUGGUAAACCACCACAUUGCUCAACAAUUUUGUUGACAAUGUCUUUUAAAUUUUGAUCUUGUACAACACCAUGCCCCACACGAUCUAAGAAUAAGUUCAUGGACUCUGUCUUUGAAAGCGGUUGCACUUUGACCACCUUACAAUCCAUAGAUUGGCAGACCUCAAUCAAUCUACUAGUGAGUACAACUUUCCUCCCCAUACCUAUUGUUGGUUCAGGGAUACCCACAUCCAAUAGAGAAAACCGUUUCCAAACAUCGUCUAAGAUCAACACAUAUCUUUUUCCCUCCAAAAUAUCUUUUAAUGUUGAUGCUCUUUGCAGUUCAUCAUAUUUUGGAAGAGACUCUUUCAAAGAAUCUGCAAUAUCUUUUUGCAAUCUAAAAAUAUUCAAUUCUUUUGAUACAGUGAUCCAUAUCACUUGAUCAAACUUCUCACUUUCCUUUAACAAUCGAUUGUUGAUAUGCUUCAUGAUAGUAGUUUUCCCUAUACCACCCAUUCCACAUACUCCAAUCAUUCCAACCUUAUUACCCAUCAAAUACUCCCAAAUUUGUUCUUUUACAUCGAUUUCACCUUCUAGAUUUGGUGUUGGUAACAUCACCCCGGUGGUUGGAGGCCCAUCAACUGCCACAUUGUUAGGGAAACUACCGUUUUGGUGAAUUUCCUUUACCUCUUCAAUCAUUCGGCAAACAAAUUUUCCAAGACGACCACGUAAGAAGUAUGAAACAACAUGGAACUUGGUUUCAAUCUCUUCCAUUUCAGUGUUAACCUUUUCUACAGCUUUAAACCAGUACUCCACUUCUUCCCUCACCACUUUUCUGUGACGAAGCUCCUCUUCCUUUCUUGAUAUGAGGUCUCUCUUUCGGAUGUUUAAAACAUUCACUUUUUCUCGAAGAUCAUUCAUAUGUUCUUCAAGUUUUCGGUGAUGGUCAAUGUAUGUACAGGUUGGACCACCAAAGCACUUUAUCACUUCAAAAAUUUGCCCUAUAAGCUCCAUAUAAGCUAUUCCCUAGAGAUUAAACCAAGAUAUAUUAGAUCUCCAUAUGACAUAAGCUACUCCCUCCCUAAACUACAAUUCUAUAUUUUUCAUAUAAUACAGAAUAUGUUAGAAAAAAAUCUUACUAAUUAAAAUUUUUUUACCAAUUCUUCUUAAGAAAAAACAUAAUAUUUUUGAAAACAUUAUAAAAAACAAGAAGUUUUUGUUUCCGUCACUUAAUUACUAUAAUUAUUUUCCACCUAAUUAAGAGAAAAGAAGCAUGACAUAGACCAAUGAACAAAAAUAAUUAUGUGAAAGGAAAGAUGAUGAACCUAUGUUAUGAAUCUAAAACAUGAAUCCAAAUCAAUAUUAAACAAUUUAAUUUAUCUAGUCAAGUGAGGCAGAUGAGCUGGUACUUCUUCUAUUCUUAGAGUUUCUUGAUUAAGUUUGUAAAAGCAGAUCUCCUUGCAAAAAAUUGUCAAGAAAAUAGCAUCAAGCAGAUCUCCUUCCAAAAUAUCCUCUAUGAGAAGAAAAUGAGUAAUGAAGCACAUGAAUUAUUGAAAAGUGGGCAAGAUUAAUAUUUAUGUAAGAAACUAAAAUAAAUGCCCAAUUUGUGUCUUAAUAUUUAUAUAAAACUUAUGAUAAGAUGAAUUUGUGUUAUAAUUUAAGAUUUCGAUUAAUUAAUGUUAUCAAAGAUAAAACUAAAUCAUAAGUAUAGACAACCUACUUAAUUCCGUGAGGCAGGGAAGUGAUACUUCUAUCUUCAGAAGGCCCUUAAUAAAUUUGAGAAACAAGCCCAAUCAAGAAAAAUAGCAAUAACAAAUAGAUUAUCUCCUUGCGAAAAAGAAAAUCCUGAUCCUCCGAGAGAAGAGAAUUAUUGAAUUAUGAAGCAGAAAAGAAUUAAAGUCGGCAACUCAAUGCAAAGUUGAAUUAUUUUCAACCUAAUUAGGCAAAAAAGGAAAAAGAAUAGAAGCAUAAAAUAAAGAGAAAGACCCAAAAGAAAGUUUUAUGGAGUUUGUUGAAAGAUGAAUUUAUGGCAGAAGGUAAGAUUCAGAGAUGGUACCAAAGAUGAAAAAUAUAAGCGUAGAUACUUCAGCUUGUUGAUAUCACUAAGCAGAUCUCCUUGCAAAUUCCUGUGUAAUGAGAAGAGAAGGAAUUAUGAAGCAAAUAAGUCAAUGCAAGUCAUGACAUUGGUUUCGGGGUCACUUCCCUUAAAGCUGCUUUGAAAUAAAGAAAAUAUAAAUAAAAUAAAAGAUGAUGAAGUGAGCCUGAACACUCGUUCAUUUUUCUUAAAGAAACAAUAAUCUAAGUUAGGACAAAAAGGAAGCAUCCGAGAAGGAUCCUGCGUAAAUUUUUACCAUUAAAUUACUUUGUGAAAAGACAAAGUUAGGUGCGAAUUGAGCACAAGGAAAGAUGAAGCAAUUAAAAAUUCAUCCAUUGUGUUAGUGGCGAAAUAAAAUAAUGAAAAGUUAGAGAAAUAGGGAGUCAUGAUUAGUGACUUGUGGGGUAGUAAUUGGAUUCCCCUUCUAGGUGUUUUGUGUUAUGCCAUAAACUUAUUACAUUAAUCUGAAUUUAUAAUUUAUAAAGAGAAUUAUUUCAACCUGAAAACUGAAAAAUAAGUAUCCCAAUCUGCAAUAGAAUGAUUUGACUAUGCACAGAAUGUGCAUAAGCUAUGAUCUACUGAAUGUAGUCCAUUUUAUAAGGGGACAAGAAACGAAUUGCCCUGUUCUUUGAUGGAGCUUCAGCAUCAUGCUUCAACCAGAAGUUUUCUACUGAGUUAACCGGAUUGUUAGUUCCUUGAUUGAUUUUCUAGUUAAUGAGCCAUAUCAGAUUACUUAGACUUGAGAAAUAGAAUUUCAACUUCUAAGGUUCUAAAUGUGACUAGUUCACAAAAUAUAUAGAAAUAUAAGGUACAAGAAGAUGAUGAUGAAGAUCAUUAAGUAAAGAUAUUGAUGAAGUGUGACGGUCAUUUCAUUGUUGAAGAUGAUUCAUGGCCGCCCCGUGGAACUGCUUCAAAAUAGUUCUUUUCAGAUAGUCCUAAAUAAUUGCUGCUGCACACACAACAGACAAAUGUGGAUGCAGCUUAUCACUUCUGAUAGAGCAGAGGACUCCCCUAAGAAUAUGGAUCAUCUGCUAGUUCAAAUUGUCUUGACUCUUUCCACAAUCUCCAUUCCUGAUACAUAUCAAAACCAUUUUGUCAUUUAUUAGUUUGAAAACUUAAUUAGUUAAAUGAUAAUACAUUGCACAACACUUACAUGUCCAACAAGGCUCAACAUUGGUUGAUAAAACCUUCUAUUCUUCUCUCCACAUAUUAUCUCCAGCAAUAGCCAAAUAUAGUACCCAUCAACAAGUGGGUUAAUUUAUCCUUACCCCAUCAACCUUAAGUUAAGCUUUUGUUUUGGUCUGAUAGUUUAGGUGCACAAUCGAUCAAGAAGUGGAAUUUUUUCUGUCAAUAGCAAAAAUUAAAAUCAGAAACUGUUUUUUGACCAAGAAAAGAAGCAAAUAAUUGAAAUUUUGUAGUUUUAAGAAGGAAGCAAGACGAUUACCAGACGAGAAGCUGUGUUCAGCCAAAUGAAAAGGCAAUAGCAUUUCCUUAGCAUUAGGAUCAUCCCAUUCCAGUGAUUCCCACCAUUCUUCUGGAUAUAAAACGAUUUGCUCAACAGGAGGAGUGGGAGGAGAUGGUAGUCCAUUUUCAAGCAGGGGAAGAGAUAAGGGGAUCCUUUUUAACUUCGGACAUUCUAUUACCUCAAGAUAUUGACGAGAGUUUGUUGGAAUCAUAAGUCCAAAAACCACAAAUGCUUUUCUGCUCUGGUAAUUUCAACAAGGAAAGUUUCCUUAAUUUGGGAAGAAUAAAUGUUAUGUGGUAAUUGCCCUUCCUGCCUCAAUUUCCUCCAACUUUUGAAAACCCUACAGCAGCUUAAUUGAACACAACUUCUUCAUACUCGAACAGUUUCUCAAGCAAAACCUUUUGAGAGAAGAGAAAAUGGGAGGUGGUGUUGGGAUGUGAGAUGGAGAUACACAUAGAUUCAUGGUUUUCAUGAAUAAGAUAAAAAUGUUAUGAUCACCAUUUAAACAUAAUAUAUAUAUUAUAUAUAAUAUAUAUAUAUAUUAGAGUAAUCACACUAAUCAUAUCAAAUUAAACUUAUACUCAUAAUUUGCGUGCAACAUCAAAUCACCAAAUCUUAUACAGAUAAUUUAAACUAUUAAUCUUGUUUAAUUAUAUAUGUAUUCAUCAUUUGAAGGGCUUUGUAAAUUUAUAAAGUAAACAACAAUAAGCAAUAAUUAUGUUUAUUUUCAAUAUCUUGGUAUUGAUACAUCACUUCCCAAAUAUGCUUUCCUUUUCUUUUUCAUACAUAGACAUUGUCUUGUUUGGAGAUUGUAGCUAGCUAGAUACCAUUAUUGCCAGUCCAAGAGGUGACACUUUGGAGAUUGAAUAGAAUUUAAUUUUCAGGUGUUUUGGUCUUGAGAUGAGUGUCAACAUUAAUUCCUUUGGAUCUCUUGAAUUAGCUUUUGUAAAUAAAAGAAGGUAUCCCUCCUCAAACAUGGAAAAUCCCCUUUCAAACCUAUAAUUUUAAAGAAAGAAAAUCCUAAUUUAAUAGAUUAGUUGCCAACUAGGGACAAGCUCCGUUGAUGUGACAUUAAUUUUGGUAUAUUCUAACACUUGUUGACUAGAUUCAAUUGGAUAGGAUUUUUAAUUUGGGUGAAAUUUACGGGUACUGAUUAAACAAUGGAAGUGACAUUGGAGGUUCUAAGUCCCUUUCACCUAAGAGAGAAAUGAGUUUGUUCAAUUGACACAGCUUUGGUACAAACAGAAAGUAAGCUAAUACCAUAUCCAUAUUUCUCAUGUGACUUGCAACAAAUUUAAGACUGAAGUAUGGCAAAAUAUUGGGUAUUUGUAUAAAUUACAAUACAGAUAAAGAAAAAAAAAAAAGAAAGAGACUAAAUAGAAAGGGGAAGUGGAAAGAUCCCCAAAAUCAAUUAGUUGCAAGUGGAAGGAGCAAAGCCCAACUUUGUUGGCAACAAGGUCAUGUUCCCACAGAUGAUUUUGUUGCAGAGUGUUGUCAAUAAUAUUUACUUCCAAGCUGUCUUUUGGUAAAUAGAAGCUGAUAAUGGUUAUCUGGAUCAAGCUCAAAUAUAGCUCCAUCUUCAAAAAUGAAUUGCAAAUCUUGACACUGAUGAGAAAAUCAAGCCUUUUUAUUGCUUUUAAUAAAAGCGUAUAAAAUUUGAAGGGUGCUCAGUUGGGGAAUUACUAGUUCCCAAGUAAUAGUUUUAACUGCUACUUUCUUGUACCAAAUUCCCAAGAAACGAUUCUUAGAGCUUCCAGGACAAAGAAACCAAGCUUAAGGAUUCCAUCCAUCACUAACAGACUGGGAGGAGGUGGAGAUAUCGAUUCCAUCAGCAAUACUUAAAAACAAUAUUAGCAAAAUGGUGUUGGUGAACAUGAAAGACAGAAUGUCUAUUUGUCUCAACUUUCAGAGCUUGUAAAACUUAUAGAAAAACUUUUCAGUUUGGCAGAUUUUAGAGAGCAAACAUAUUUAAACUGAUGGUCGUUGACUAGUAUGCAAGUCUUCCUUGAAAAGACCAAACUUUUCAGGUUGCACAGAAUUCUUAUUUCUGAUUUUUAUGAGGCUUCAGUGUAGUCAUCUUGUAUUGUCUCUGUGAAUUGUAUAUACAUAUUAUACCCCCAAGUGGGCACUUGCAGGGUGCUAAGCUCAAACUGGGACUAAACCACUGGUAUCAAAGCAUAAGGGACAUAAACAUACGGAUCGAUAGCCUAUAAUAAUGGCUUGGAGAUGAAAGAGCUUAAGUAUACAGUUUAUCAAUUAUCGAGCAUCUAGUACUGACAGAGUUAUUUCAUUUGUGGAAGAAGAUACAUGCUUGUCUGAUGAAGAAUCUUCUUCAAGUGGACUUUUCUUAGACAAAAUACCAGGUUGUUUGGGGUGUGGCAAUUCAGUUUCACUUCCCAACAUCAGAAUCACAAAUGACAUACGUGGCCUCUCCUCAGGGAUUUUGUCAUUUAUCAGUUAGAAAUGUUGAAAAUCUCAAGGAUUUUGUUAUAUUUGCAGACCAUUAUCUGUUAAAAUGAUAAAGAUAAAACGAGAGAGAAAAUAUAAUUGAACACAAAGUCUCCCUACAGUCUUUUCAUUCAACAAUAACACUUAUAAAUACAUUUACAGGAGAGAGAAGACAACAAUAAAAUAAAACAACACGUAAAGUAAAAUAACUGCACAAUAUCCAUAUCUUACAUAAUCACCUACUUUACAAUACAAACCCACUACCUAACAUAACAAUAACUGACUCAACAUGACAAUAAUUGUAAAAGAGAAAAUAAACUGAUAUUAACUAAUAAAUUAAAAAAUUGUUGAGAAUAACUGAAUCUGAUUCUUCAAGUCAAAUCUCAUUCUUCAACAAAACUUGAUUAGUUAAAUGAUAAUACAUUUCACAACACUUUUAUGUCCAACGAGGCUCAACACUUUUGUCUGGUUGAUAAAAGCUUCUAUUUUACCUUCCACAAAUUAUCUCCAGCAAUAAUAUACCAAAGCUAAAUACACUACCCAUCAAGAAGUGGGUUAAAUUAUCCUUAACCCAUCAACAUUAAGUUAAGCCUUUGUUUUGGUCUGAUAGUUUAGGUGCGCAAUCGAUCAAGAGGUAGAAUUUUUUCUGUCAAUAAUAAAAAUUAAAAUCAGAAACUAUUUUUUGACAAAAAACAGAAGCUAAUAAUUGAAAUUUUGUAGUUUUAAGAAGGAAGCAAGACGAUUACUAGACGAGAAGCUGUGUACAGCCAAAUGAAAAGGCAAAAGCAUUUCCCUAACAUUAGGAUCAUCCCAUUCCACUGAUUCCCACCAAGUAAUUGUUUGGCCCUUGAUCCAAUAUAGACUUGGUGUAUUCUACUGAGAUUUGUAAAUUUAUUUUCUUAAAUUGAAAGCACUGUUGUGAAGAUUUUUCCCUUUCGAAAUGAUUGGUUUUUCAAUGUCAGACAAAUUAAGAAUACACCAUACUUUAGAAAUGGAAACAUAUAUAAACUACUUAUUAAAUUACUACAACAUCAAGCAAAUUACUGUAAUGAACAAGUGAUAAUGAAGUCAAUAUAAUCCAAGAAGAUAGAUUGAAGGGAGUUCAGUUGGCUAAUUGAUGCAGAGAAUAUUUGGAGCAGACUGGGUUAAUCCUUGUCCAAAACUCCUUGAAAGCCUCUUCAUAGCAAUUUCCUGUGACCAUUUACUAAGAUAGAUUGAAAGACCGCCUGCAAAUAGGAGAGAAGAAAAUGUUGAUGUAACGACCCAAGUCCAAUCACCGGCCCAGCAACUUUUCGAACCUAAACCAAUCACUGGCCUAGCAACUUUUCGAACCUAAACCACAUGGCCCUUAAAAGCUUAAGCUUAAGUUACUAGUAGUGAUGGACUUGGAUUGUUAUAUAGGUAUUAACAAUCAUAUUCAUAUUAGACGUGAGAUUUGAGGUAUCACAAUCCGACCCAUUCAGAUCCUUGAUGUCAUCAUCAAGACCACACAUCACAUUCACGAGACCAAGAUCUCAUUAGAGCAAUGUGAAAGCUCACAUCGGACUAGCGCAAGCUCUUAUACCAUUUGUAAUGACCCAAGUCCAAUCAUUGGCCCAGCAGCUUUUCGGACCUAAACCACAUGUACCUCAAAAGUUGAAACUCAAGUUACUAGUAAUGAUGGACUUAGAUUGUUAUAUAAGUUUUAACAAUCAUAUUUAUAUCAGAUGUGGGAUGUGAGGUAUCACAAUGAACUUGAGUUUAAGUUUUUGAUGACCAUGUGGUUUAAGUCUAAAAAGCUGUUGGGCCAGUGAUUGGAUUUGAGUCAUUACAAAUGGUAUCAGAGCCUACGCCAGUCCGAUGUGAGUUUUCACAUUGCUCUUAUGAGAUCUUAUUCUCGUGGAUGUGAUGUAUGGCCUUGAUGAGAACAUCAAAGAUUUGAGUUGGUGGGAUUGUGAUAUCUCACAUCCCACAUCUGAUAUGAAUGUGAUUGUUAAAACCUAUAUAACAAUUCGAGUCUAUCACUACUAGUAACUUGAGCUUAACUUUUUAAGGACCAUGUGGUUUAGGUCCUAAAAGCUAUUGGGCCAAUGAUUGGACUUGGGUUGUUACAGUUGAUUAACAUCAACAAGUACAUCCCCUAGAUAAAUGAAUAAAAAUAAACACAGAAUGUGGAUAAAAAUAAACUGAGACUAUUUGCAGUUUUAAGAAAAAACGUUGAGGACUUUACCGAUGUGAACCGUCGAGCCACAUUUAAUGGAGUAGAUUUUCUCCAUCUCAUUCUACCAAAUAAAAACAAAGGGAGAAAAGACAUGCUUAGCAUCAAGGUGAUCCCAUUGCACUGAUUCCCACCAUUCACUCUGGCUUACAUUGAUUUCUUCUAGAAAAGGAAGAGGACAUGGUUGCCCAUUUUCAAAAAGGGCAAGACACAAAGGGAUCCUCUUUAGAUUUGGACAUUUCCAUAUUCGAAGAUUUCGGAGAGAAUCUGUAGGAAUCACAACUCCACCACUGUAAAUGCUUUUCAAUUUUGGUAAGUAGAUCAUCCAUAAUGAUUUUAAUUUAAGCAGAAUGAAUGUUGUUCUUUCUCCUUUACGAUUUUCUUCUUAUUCUGAUGCUAUUAUUUCCUCUAUUUCUUUAUAGUCUUCAACUUUAAUUUCCUGUAAGUUUUAGAGACCUUGCAACAACUCAAUUGGGAACAACUUCUUCAUCUUCCAACACAAAUCUAGAUGCAAUAAUUUAAGAGAAAAGAAGAUGGUAGGUGGGGUUAGAGGAGGAGAGGUAGAACCAAAUUCAAGCGCUACUCUUACUCUCACAUGUUCAUGCAAGUUCCACAAUGACUUAAGGAAUAUCUUCUUAAUGUCAUCAAGUGUGUUGCAAGGCGACAAUGACAAGUCAACCACACACGCCGUCCCUUUACACUCCUCAAUUUAACAUAUCUUCAAGUUAGUUGCCUUACGAAACAAAGGAAUAUUGCUUAAACAUUUGAAAUCAUUACACUUCCCAAUACGUAAAGUAUGAAGGCCAUUUGGGACUAGUGUAUCUUCUAUUUUCUCCAUCUCACAAUGCAUGAAUGUUAUCUGCUUUUCAAGUUUCUCUAAAUUUUGGACAGGUAGACUAUGUAAAACCUCAGAUGAUCCUACUUCAGGAUAAAGAUUUUUAGGCCAUUUACCUUGUAUAGACUUUGCAUAUCUUGAACUCUUACAAGUCACAAAAUGAACAUGAAAGAAUCUCAAGCUUCAUCAAUUUGCCUUCUUCUUCUCCCAUUAAAUGCGGCCCUACUAUUAAGCAUUGGAGAUGAGACAUCAUCAGCAAUAUUCCUACAGGCAGCUCUUUUAUAUUAGAUGACCAUAGACGGAGAUAUCUAAGGAUUUCUAACUUUUUUAUUCCAUGAGGAGCCUCUUCAAUUCCCAUAUACAAAAGGUCCAACUUUUUAAUGCUCUAAGCUUUGCCGAGGAAGGCACACAUUUUAAUAUGUAACAACAAAAAAGUAUCAAUGCAUUAAGAUUUUUCAAGUUACAGAUGGAAUUGGGUAGAUCUACAAUCUGAGUACGAGAAAGAUCUAAAACUUUUAGGUCAGACAUGUACUUAAAUAAAGAUUCUGGAAUCCUUCUUAAGCCACAGUUUUGCAAUAUCAAAGUUGACAAACGAGGACAUUCAGGUGAUAUGUGAGGAGGGAUUUCUAUUAAUUUUGAAUUGUCUAAUAUCAAGGAAACCUUCUCAACACUCAUUGUCCAUUCCUGCUUAAUUGGUAGUUCCUUUAAUUGCAUGUAUUGAUGACCACUACUUUUAACAUACAAUGCCACGUCUCUCAAAACAUCAUGCAUCUUAACUUCUUCCGUAUAAUCAGUUGUAGUCCUUUUUAACAAGCAAUUAUUUUCAAGCUUAUUUAAAAUGCUAUGGCCUUUGUCAUACAUUGCUUGUCUAGUCCCUAAGCUAUCAAGGAGUCCCUCAUCUAUCCAUUUUUCAAUUAAGUCUGUUUUUCUAAUUCUAAAAUCCUCAAGAUACAAGGAGCAAUAUAAGAAAUGAUUUUGGAUUUCUAGAUCUCCCAAAUGGUCAUAAUUGAACUUUAAACACUCAAAUUUUUCAAUGUUCGACCCUUUCACAAUUUUCACUUGCUCCUCUAAUUCAUUUAGUGCAUUCCUUCACUCACAAAUAUCAUCUACUUCUACCCCUUUUAGGCUACUAGCCAUUGUCACAAUGAAAAGUGGUAAACCGCCACAUUGCUCAACAAUUUUGUUGACAAUAUCUUUUAAAUUUUGAUCUUGUAUAACACUAUACCCCACACAAUCUAAGAAUAUAUUCAUGGACUCUUUUUUUGAAAGCGGUUGCACUUUGACCACCUCACAACCCAUAGAUUUAUAGACCUCAAUUGAUGUACUAGUGAAAACUACUUUCCUCCCCAUACUUAAUGUUGGUUUUGGGAUUUCCUCAUUUAGUAGAGAAAGUCAUUUCCAAACAUCGUCUAAGAUCAACACAUAUCUCUUUUUCUCUAAAAUAUCUUUUAAUGUUGCUACUCGUUGCAAGUCAUCUACUGGAAGAGAUUAUUUCAAAAAAUUUGUAAUAUCUUGUUGCAAUUUGAAAAUAUUCAAUUCUUUUCAUAUAGUGACCCAUAUCACUUGAUCAAAUCAAUUAUCCUUCAACAAUUGAUUAUUGAUAUGCUUCAUGAUUGUAGUUUUCCCUAUACCACCCAUUCCACAUACUCCAAUCAUUCCAACCUCUUCACCCAUCAGAUACUCUGAAAUUUGCUCUUUCAUAUUGAUUUCACCCUCUAGAUUUGGUGUUGCUAAUGUCAUCCCAGCAAUUGAAGGCCCAUCAACCGCCACACCAUCAGGGAAACAACCUUGUUGGUAAAUUUCCAUUACUCCUUCAAUCUUUCCGCAAAGAAAUUUUCCUAGAUGGCCGCAUAAUAAGUAUGAAACAGCACAGAACUUCUUUUCAAUCUCUUUCAUUUCAGUCUUUACCCUUUGUACCUCUUUAAACCAGUUCUCCACUUCUUUCUUCACCUCUUUUCUGUGACGAAGCUCCGCAUCCUUAAUGGAUUCAACAUCUUUCUUUCGAGAUUUCAAAGCAUCCACUUUCCUUCGAAGCUCAUUCAUAUGUUCUGCAGGUUUUCGAUGAUGAUCUAUGUAUCUAUAGGUUGGAUCCCAAAAAUACUUUAUCACUUCAUAAAUUAGCCCUAAAAAGUCCAUAUAAGCUACACCCUAUAAUUUAAUAAACCAACUUAUAUUACAUCUCUACAUGAUAUAAGCUACUCCCUGUACUAAAAUUCAAUAAAAUAAUAUGUAGCCUAUACGUUACAAAAAAAAUGUUACAAAAUAAUAAAUUUUUAAUUUCAAAAUUGGAAGACUAAAUUUACUAUAUGUGAUUUUUUUAUAUAUUUUACACAUUUAAUACGAAUUCAAAUGAGAUUAGGCAAGAAUUUGUAAUUGUUAGCCUAAGUGAACAUAGAAUGACCAUUUAAUGUUAAAUAUUCAAAUUCAAAAAUGGAUAUUGUCACCCAAAAAUGUAUUUGCUAGCAUAACUCAAAUAAAAGGAAAACUUUAUAAUAUUAAAAUUUGCAUUGAUUUCACUGUUUUCUCUACCAAUUGUUUCAAAUAGCGUUUAUUGCUAUUAAUUUUUUUGACCAUGACUCCUAAUUUGAUUUUUGUUUCAUACUUAUUACUUAUUUAAUUGUUCACAUUCAUAAUUCAGAGUUUACCUUAUAUGGUUACUUCAACUUUACCUCUUAAAAUAUGAGAUAUCUUGAAAUUAAUGCUAUAAAUUGCAAAUUUUUUCUACUUACUUGGUAUGUUUUUGUUAAAGAUUAUAUAUAGUUUCUUAGGCUAUUCUCCACUCAUAUUUAGUUUCUAUGUUUCCCUAAUCCAAAUUUCCAUCAUCAAAAGUUUGAUUUCUUCUUUUUGCAGACCUCUUUGAAUUAUUCAAUUUUGUCUAUAUAUGUAUUUUGACCUCAUUGAUUUAUAAUUAUUUAGUAGUUAUGUAUUUCAACCUCUUUAAUGAACUAUUCAAUUUCUUAAUUUAUUUUCUUUAGUCAAUUGUUUUACUGUAUUCAUAUGAGUAGAUUUUCAUCAGAAUCAUUUAAUCUUCUAAGACGUUAUUCAUUAACAUGGAUACUUCCAACUUAAUUUUUUUUUACAUUCUACUUUAUAUUUUAAAUUCUUAAAAAUUAUUAUAAAAUAAAAUUAUCACCUGUGCAUUGCAUGGGGAUAAAUCUAGUUUUUGAUAAUAAUAAACAUCAUCUUAACCAAUAAUAAUGAUAAUAAUAAAUAUCAAAGACCCAAGCAAAUAUUAAUCAUUUUGAAUUGAUAGUCCUAAAUAUUUUCAAUUGUGGAUUAAUAAAAUCUAAACAUGAGUAAGGAAUAUAUAUAUUACAUCUUUUUGAUAAUUAAAACAACAAAGCUUGUGACAACAACAAUAUAUCAUAAAAAGAUAUUUAAGAAAUGAUAGAAAGAAUAAAUUGAGAGAAUAGAAUGAUAUUUAGGGUCCGUUCGUUUUGCAGUAAAAUAUUUUCCGGAAAAUAUUUUCAGGACUUAUGCUUGUUUGGUAGAUGGAAAAUUAAUUUCAGAUGUAAAACAUUUUACGAGUUAAUAGGGUUAACCAUGGAAAAUGUCUUAUACGCUUGAAUGGCGUAAGACAUUUUUCAAAGAACAACAAAAACACUUUUAUGCUAAGUUUAUGAUUAUAAGUUUGAUGAAUAUUAAUAUUUAACUUAAAAUAUUAAAAAAAUAAAAAUAUUAAUAUUUAACUUUAAAAUAAUUACUUUAAAAUAUUAAUAUUUAAAUUAUACAAUACUAUUAAAAUUAAAAAAAAUAUUAUUGUAAUGAAACCAUUCAAUACAAUUAAAUUUUUUAUUUAUAAAUGGAAUAAAUCUUAUUAAUAAUUAUAAUAAAAAAUAUUUCAAUGAUCAUUAUUUGAUUAAUACACAUUUAUAAUAGUUUUAAAUCUUACUAAUAAUUAUAAUUAAAAAUAUUUCAAUGAUCGUCAUUUAAUGAAUACACAUUUAUAAGCAUAGAUUUAGGAUAUCUUACACAAUUGAUAAAUAUUUACAUUUUAUAGUUAUGAUAAAAAAGUGAUAAAAUGGAAAUUUUUUUGAAAAUUAGAGUUUAUUUUCAUCACAGAUAUGUGGUUAAAUGNGAAAUUUUUUUUUAAAUUAGAGUUUAUUUUCAUUACAGAUAUGUGGUUAAAUGCUUUGAGAAAUAUCAUUAUUGAUUUUGUCCAUUUUCAUCUUCAUUCUUAAUUUUGAUCCCAAAUUAGUGAAAAUCAAAUAUCAAUAUUGUUUUGUAAUCAACUCCUAUUUAUUAUUUUAACGCCUAAAUAAGUCCACCAUAAUGAAAAAUAUUUUUCAUAAAAUGAUCCAAACAACUGAAAAUGUUUUCGAUAGUUUAUCCAAAUAAUAAAAUAUAUUAAAUUUUCCUAUAAAAUAUUUUACAUAGGAAAAAUUUUCCUUCAGUAAGUCAAUUUACGAUUACCAAACGGACCUUAAAGUACCUGGUUUCCUUUUCAAAUUAUUUGGAAAGACCAAGAAUAGAGGUUAAGUAGAUGAACUGCAAAUUAAUCCCCUUGGCUCCUUGCGUUAAGUAGAAAUUUUUGUGGAAAAUUAAAAAUCUUAUUUUUAACACCAGUAGUGUUAAUUCAAAUUUAUACUUGUACCAAUUCAAAUUUAUAUUUAAGAGGAGAAUCAAUCCAAUCUGAAGAGUGAAAAAGUCUUGAAUUAAUUCCUUGUUGCUGAUGUAGAGAGAUGUAGUUGUAGAAGAAACUAUGCAUAGAAGGAACAAGUUUAGCCCUUGAAAAGAGCCUUGUGGAUGGCUCUUGAUCUUUACACAAAUGCUGCAGAGAACUUGUAAAUGAUGAGCUUGCAUGGAAUUUGUAUAUCUUAAUCAUAUGAAGCUUCAGUUUGGUCCUUCAAUUUCUCUAUCUAUGAAAUAAACACAAGGCAUUGUAUAUGAACUAUUCUAUACAUCUCAACUCUUCUUGGACAUAGAGAAAACCACCUUCAACUUGCUUUGAAAUUUCCUUCCUUGGUACAUGAUGCUGUCAAGUUAAGAACAUUGAAAAAUAGGAUUCAACCUUGCAAUCUAUAUUGACAUGAGGUUAACAUAAUUCUAAUCCAGUAUUGCAACUCCAUUACUGUCGACUCAAUCUGUAAUUAAUUUAAACAUAAGGGAAAGUAAGGUUAGAUUCAUUCGCAUUGGCUUUCUCUGCCCUGCUUUUAGAAAUUUCGUUGGUGAAAUUGGAUAAUGCUUCUUUCAGAUAAAAGACUUGAAGAUACCCCUUAAUAAAAGGAUUUGACAAAUUCUAAAUAUAAUUAGUUGAAUCAUAUGCAGAAACUGAAUUUGAAUCUCAAAAAGAAGAUUUUCUUCUCAUGAAAGCCUCUGUCAAGAACAUAUCCAGAUGACUUACAAUUCAAGUGAAUUUGGAUAGUGCUUCUGAUGAAAGCCUUCGAACAUUAGAACUACAGAAGACAUACAAUUCAAGUGACCAGAUUCCAGAUCAAAUAUGAACAAAUCUUGUAAAUUAGCAUUUUCUCCGCUCCUUGUUAUGCAACGACCAAGAGGCUUUACAGGAUUACGCUGCUGAAGCUUGGCAAUCAAUUUCACAUCAUUUCAUAGCACAUACAAUCCUUGUCAAGAACUCCUUCAAAGCCUAUACACAGCAAUUUGUCAUCCAUCUGAUAAUGUACCUUGAAAGGUUAAAAGUAAAGAUUGCAAAAGGGUUUUCCUUGUACAUACGUCCGAAUCCACCUUAUCCAAGCUUCUUGUAUAUUGGUGACUUUAGCUAUAGAGGAUAGGUCAAACAAGUCGAACCUCUGUGUUUUCCUUAUUGCCUACAACGUUCUGCUCAGCUUCUCCCAUGGUUUCUUUCUCUGAAAUAGAGGGAAAUGUGCCUCCUUAAGUGUACAGUUUUAAUGAUUUUUUUUUUGGAAGAUAUAGUGAUUUUUCAAUGCUGUUUUUUCCUCUGUUUUUUCUCCACUGACAAAUGAUUGAUACGCAAUUUCUAGCAAACUAUACCUUUCGAAAAAUUUCAAGAAACAGAAGAGCUAAAUGUUAUGGUUGACAAGACAAAUGAGCUUUACCUUGUAGGUUUCUCCAGAGUUUGUAAAGGUAACAGUCAAUUAUCACCAUCCCAGCAACAAUGGCAAGGUCAAUUCUGCUUUGAGAUAACAGCCAUCCUCUUCUUAGGCUCAUCUUUAGCCUUUUCAGGUUCAGAUUUGACACAGGAAAGUCAGUUAAACUUAUUUUCAGAAAGUAAGACACAGAGUUAAAAAAUGCUAAUGACACAUGAAAAAGCAAAUGAAUUAAUGAGUUAAAAUUAGGUGCAAAUUUAAUUUUGAAGCAGAAAUUUGAAUAUAAUGUACUCGCCCACCAGAAGGUUUCUGUCUGAUAUCAAAUAAUCAAAUCACAUGACUGAAAAGUUAGUGGUAGGGCCAAGAACUGAAGGUCCAUGUUUUCCUUGAAGCUUUCAGCAUGCCCUGAUCAGUUUCUUCAAUGUUUUUCUCUUAUCUAAUGUUCUGCUCAACAAAAGAAUAAAAAAUAAAAAAAUUUAAGACUAAAUGUAAAUGCAUGGUAAACUUGCUGUCUAGCUGAGAUGGUUUUAGAAAUUACUGAAGGCAUAGUGAAUGCUAAAUUUUUAAUGAAAAUCUGAUAGCCCAAUAACCAUAGGCAAAAAACAACUUGUGAAAGGACCAACCUAUCAUUGCCAUCAUCAGCCUCUUACUCUUCAUCCUCUUCUGAAGAAAAUUCUAAAACAACUUGUGAAAGGACAUCCUUAGCAUCAGGAUCAUCAAAUUCCACUAAUUCCCACCAUUUUCUUGGAUGAACAUAGCCAUGCUCGAGAGGAGGAGGAGUUGGUUGCCCAGUUUCAAGCCGGGGUAUGGAGAAAGGGAUCUUCUUGAGCUUUAGACAAUUUAUUAUUGAAAGAAAUUGGAGAGAGUUUGCAGGAACCAUAACUCCACUAGUACAAAUGCUUUUCAGUUCCGGUAAUUUGAUCAGGUGCAAGGUCUGUAAUUUGGGAAAAACAUAUGUUGUUACUUUAGGACCCCUUUCUUCUUCUUUGUGAUUUUCUUCCUCUGCUUCUGAUGCGAUUAUUUUCUCCAUCUUCUCACAGCGAUUAACUUCAAUGUACUCUAAGUUUUGCAAGCCCCGCGACAGCUGAACUGAAAACAAAUUCUUUAUACUUGAACAACGAAACAAAUGAAAUUUCCUAAGAGAAGAGAAGAUGGCAGGCGGUGCUGGAGUGUGAGAUGUAGAGACAGCUGCUACUCUUCCUUUCACAAGUUCUUGCAAGUUGGACAAACAUCGAAGACGUAGAACCUCAAUGUUCUGCAAUGAAUUGCAAGAUGAUAACGACAAAUCAACCAUGCACUUUAUUCCUUUACACCAACUAAUAGUACAUGUCUUCAACUCAUUUGCUUUACGGCACAAAGAAAUAUUGCUCAAGCUUUUGAGAUCAUGACAUGCCUCAACAGUCAGAGUCCUAACGCAAUUUGGGAGCACCACAAGAUCUUCUUUCCCUAUCUCGCAAUUAAUAAAACAUACCUUUUUGUCAACUUCGACAUCCUCAAGAUGAGAACACCAAGGAUGGCUCCUGAUGUUGCCCAAAGUAGGUGAUCCAACUCCAAGCCAGUAUUUGGAGGGCCCUUGACCCAAUAAAGACUUGGCAUAUCUCUCAAAGUCUUGUAUUUCACAAAAGAAUCCUAGAAGAAUCUCCAGCUUCCUUAGUUUGGCUACUUCCUCUCCUCUUCUAUUCAUCCAAGUUUUCAAGUAUUGGAGAUUAGAAAGCCUUAAUAGAAUUUCCGUUGGUAGUUCCUUUAGAUUCCUUGAAUAUAAAUCAAGAUAUGUGAGGCUUUCUAACAUUUCUAUACCACGAGGGACCUCCUCAAUAAUUGUAUCAAAAAGAUCCAACUUUCUCAAGGCUGUAAGCUUGGCUAAUGAAGGCACGUAUCUUAAACUGCUACACCUUCGAAGGACAAGUGCAGUUAGAUUUUCCAAGUUAGAAAUGGAAUUGGGCAGAUCAUAAAUGCCAGUAUCCGAAAGAUCUAGAACUUUUAGCCCAUGCAUGUGGUCAAAGAAAGAUUCUGGAAUUCUUUUGAGACUAUGAUUUUCUUGCAAUAACAAGGUUGACAAAUUAAGGCAUUUCGGUGAUAUCUGAGGAACUUGUGAUAUGUAAUUGUGAAUCAAGGAAACCUUCUCAAGAUUCUCUUUCCAUUUAUGCUCACUUGGUAACUCCACUAAUUGCAUACCAGCUUGAACCAUAAAGUGAUGACACCCUCUUAUAAUAGACAAUGCCAUGUCUCUUAGAACAUCAUGCACCUUCACUUCUUCCUUAACAUUGUAAGUCAUCACCCUCUCUAACAAGCAAUUAUUUACAAGCUUAUUUAAAAUAGCGCGACCUCUGUCUUGCAUUGCCUGUCUAGUUUCUAAUUCAUCAAUGAGAUCCUCAUCUAUCCAUUUUUCAAUCAACUCUUCUUCCACAAUGUGAUAAUCUUCAGGAUACAAGGAACAAUAUAAGAAACAAUUUUGAAUUUUUGAAUCUUUCAAACGAUCAUAACUGAAUUUCAUACGCUCAAAUAUUUCAAUAUCUAACCCUUUCACACUUUUAACCCUUUCACGUAAUUCAUUUAGUGCAUUCCUCCACUCGCAAGUAUCGUCCACUCCUCUCAUGCUACUAGCUAUAGUCACAAUGGCAAGCGGUAAACCACCACAUUCGUCAACAAUAAGGUUUGCAAUUUCCUUUACAGUUGGAUGUUGUAGAACCCUAUCCCCCACCAGAUUCAAAAAUAAGUUCAAUGACACCUUCUGCGAAAGAGGCUGCACUUUAAACACCUUACAACCCAUAGAAUUACAAACCUCAAUUGAUCUACUAGUGAUUAUCACUUUGCUCCCAUUAUGUAAUGUUGGUUCCGGGAUUCCCACAUCCAAUAGAGAAAACCGUUCCCAAACAUCAUCUAAGAUCAACACAUAUCUCUUUCUUUCCAAGACUUCCAUUAAUACAGUUGCCCAUUGCAACUUAUUUUCUGGAAGACAGCAUUCUAAAGCACAUGCAAUAUCUCCUUGUAAUUUGACAGCAUUGAAUUCUCUAGAUACGGUGACCCAAAUCACUGCAUCAAACUGAUUUUCCUUCAACAAUUGAUUAUUGAUAUGCUUCAUGAUGGUAGUUUUUCCCAUUCCACCCAUACCACAUACUCCAAUCAUGCCAACCUCGUCACCCAUUAAAUUUUCCCAAAUUUGUUCCUUUACAUCGAUUUCACCUUCUAGUUUUGUUGUGAGAAAUGUCACCCCUGUAGCUGGAGGCCCAUCAAUUGUUACACCCUCAGGGAAAUUACCUCGUUGAUAAAUUUCCUUUGCUUCUUCAAUCUUCUGGCAAACAAAUUUCCCUAGGCGUGCACGUGAGAAGUAUGAAACAACACGCAAUUUCUCUUCAAUCAUUUGAAGUUCAAUAUUUAUCCGUUCUAAAUCUUCAAACCAUUUCUCCACUUCUUUCUUCACCACUCUUCUGCAACGAAUAUCUGCUUCCUUUCUGAAUUCAAGGUCUUGCUUUCGAAUAUUUAGAUCAUUCACUUUUCUUUUAAGAUCAUUCACAUUUUCCUUAAGUUUCCGAUGAUGACUAAUGGAUCUAUAGGCUGGACCCCCAAAGCACUUUACCACUUCGAAAAUUGGCCCUAGAAGCUCCAUAUAAGCUACUCCCUGUAGUUUAAAAACCAAUAUGUAUAUUACAUCUCCAUAUAAGAUACUGCUUGUACUACUAUGUUAUUAAAUCUCAAACUUUUAUCAAUUCUUCUAAAGAAAAAAAAAACAAAAGAAAAAAUAUUGCUUUUAAAAAACUUUAUUAAAUACAAGAAUCCAUCAUCUAUGAGAAUAGUGUUUAUAUUUCUAAGACUACUUAUACGUUAAUGGUUUUAUAUAUAGUAUAUGUAGAUGAAUGUAUACAUGUUUGUGUUUAUAUAUUUAUAUAUAGUGUUCAACUUUCUCACUUAAGAACCAUCACAAAUUCUUUAAAUAUGUCUGACCUGUGUUUUCGAGUCUUGAUCAUUAGAACAUUAAUAAAAGGAGGAAUAAAAAAAUGAGAAAACAAUUCUCAAUAAUAUUAAACAUCAAGGACCCAAGCAACUUUCUCACUUAAGUUGUAUCACUCUCUAACAGGUAAUUAUUUUCAAGCUUAUUUAAAAUGCCCUCUGUCAUGCUUUGUUUGUCUGGUUUCUAAGCUGCCAUGGAGCCUCUCAUCUAUCCAAGUUUCAAUUAAUUUCAUUUUCUCAAUUUCAAAUUCUUCAGGACAUAAGGAACAAUAAUAUAAGAAAAAAUUUUAAAUUUUGUAUUUCUCAAGCAAUCAUAACUAAACUUCAAACAACCAAAUAUGUUGACGUUCACACCUUUCACACUUGUCACCCACUCUUCGAAUUCAUUCAGUGCAUACCUGCACUCACAAUAUCAUCUACCCCUUUCAUGCUACUGGCUAUUAAUGUCGCAAAGCGGUAAAUCGCACAUUGCUCAACAAUUUUGUUGACAAUGUCUUUUAAAUUUCAAUCUCAUACAACACCACAUGAUCUAAGAAUAAGUUCAUGGACCACGUUUUUUAAAGUGAUUUCACUUUGACAACCACACUAUCCAUAAAUUUACAGACCUCAAUUGAUUUACUAGUGAGUACAACUUUCCUCCCCAUACCUAAUGUUGGUUUUGUGAUUCCUACAUCCAAUAGAGAAAAAAUUGUUUCUAAACAUCAUCUAAAAUCAACGCACAUCUCUUUUCCUCCAAAAUAUUAUUUAAUGUUGCUGCUUAUUGCAAUAUAUCUUUUGGAAGAGAUUGGUACGAAGAAUCUGCAAUAUCUUCUUGCAAUUUGAAAAUAUUCAAUUCUUUUAAUAGGUGAGCCAUUCCACUUUAUCAAGCCAGUUAUCCUUCAACACUUGAUUAUUUAUAUGCUUCAUGAUGGUGGUUUUCCCUAUGCCACUCAUUCCAUAUACUCCAAUCAUUCCAAUCUCAUCACUCAUCAAAUACUUCAUUUUUUAAUUUUUCUUCAAUUUCACCUUCUAGAUUUGGUGUUGGUAAUGUCACCCUGGUGGCUAAAGGCCCAUCAAUUGCCACACCAUCAAGGAAACCACCUUGUUGGUAAAUUUCCUCUAAUUCAUCAAUCAUUCAACAAAAUGAUUUUCCUGGACGACCGCAUAAGAAGUAUGAACCAACACAGAACUUCUUUUCAAUAUUUUCCAUUUCAGUCACCCUUUGUACGUCUUCAAAGGUUAAAUGGAGCACAGUAUGCAAGCCCAAAAGAUUUGGAGGACUGGGGAUCUCAAACCUUAAGCAUAAAAACUUAGCUCUCCUUGCAAAAUAUUGGUGGUGGCAGUAUGGCAACGAGGAAAACGCAUUAUGGAGGUGGCUGAUUGUAGAAAAAUAUGAAAGGGGGCAAAAUCAUUGGAUCCCCUCAUCAUCAAACAUGGGAAGAAUGUCACUGAUAUGGAGAUCCAUUGUAAAUUUACCUUCCAACAAGGGUGUUCAAGAACUUGUGUGAGACCAAGCAUGUCGCUGGAUUACUAUUUUCUUUUGGCUUUACAAAUUGAUUAAUGAUGUUCCUCUUUUCUCCAAAUUUUCUCCUCUUUUCUCUUUGAUUGUUUCAAAGGAAAUGAAAGUUGUUGACGUGCAGAACAAUCGCACUUGGUCCAUAACCUUUAAACACAAUCUACAUUUAUGGGAGAAAGAAUCCUAGGAUGAGAUCCUCCACAAGUUCUCCUCGAUUCCUUACUCCAAGGAAAAGGUGAUAAGCUCAUUUGGCGGCAUGACCCUAAGGGUGCUUACUCUAUUAAAACUUUCUACUUACUCCUUGAUGCUAAUCCUAGUGCUUGAAAGUUUGGUUCAACACUAUUUGGCACUUCUCCAUUCCACCGAAGGUGCAAUGUUUCCUAGGGCUCUCGCUCAUAUAUAGAUUCUUUACCUACCAAAGGCUUCCUUUCGUCCGAGGUGUUUAAUUCAAUGUUGAGCAACUUAGAUGCCCUUGGUGCAGCCUUGUAGUGGAGACAUUUGUUCUUUGUAUUAUCUUUCAGUAUGUUGCUAGUAGUUGAUGUAUAAUUCUCUUAGGCCAUGUUUCGGAUUGUUCUGCAUUUUGUAAGCCAGGCUGGUUAGGUUCUGUUAUGCACUCUUUGUGCACUCCCCUGUUUUUUUCAUUUUCUGUUCUGCAUCAACAGUUCAUUCCCAGCCUUGUACUUUAAAAAACCAACUUAUAUUACAUCUCCAUAAGAUAUAAGCUAUACCUUGUACUAAAAAGCAAAAGAAAAAUAAGUUUUGAAAACAUUAUUAGAAACAAGAAGUUUUUGUUUCGAUCAUCUAGGUGAAUAAUGUUUACAUUUCUAACACUAUAUUUAUCAAGCCGAAUGUAUAUACUAUUUAUAUAUAGCAUAUACUUCCCCCCCUAGAGAGCCAACACAAAUUCUUAAAUAUGUCUUGCCUACAUAUCUCAAAAAGAUAUUUAAGAAAUAAUUGCAUGAAUAAAUUGAGAGGGUAAAAUGACAUUAAAAAUACCAGGUUUCUUCUUCAGGAAAGAUGAAGAACAGGGCUCAAGUAGUACAAAUUAAUCCCCUUGGUUCCUUGCUAAGCACAAAUUUGUUGUGGAAAAUAGCUGACAUAAAAGAGGAACAAUCACUAGUGUUGUAAAGGUGAAAAGCUUAUUUGCUAAAGUUUUUGGAAUUAUUCUUAUUCUUGCUCACUAUAAUUAAUUUCAGCCUAAUUAAUAGAAUAGAAGCAUGACAAAGAAAGAACCAAAAUAAUUUUGUGCAACUUGACUAAAGAUGAUGAAAUUAUGUUACAAGAUUAUAAGAUUCUAAAGAACAUGAACCCAAAAGAUUAAAAAUCAUAAUAUAAAGGAAUAGGCAGUUCAAUUACCUGGUUAAAUGAGACAAUGAAUGGGUACGUCUCCUCUCCUUAGAGGGUCUUGGUUAUAUUGGUGGAAUGGAAGAUUAAUAUCUCCUUCUAGAAUUUGUCAAGAACAGAGCAAAAUCAGAUCUCUCUGCUGGCAAAAUAAUACUAAUUGACGAUGUGGAGCAACAAAACUUGUCACACGCCCUAUAUCUACUUUCUUAUAUUUAUAUUUCAAAGGAGAAUUAAUCCAAUUUAGAAAAGUCAUGAAUCAUAAUUUCUUGUUGCCGAAAUAGGAAGAUUUGGUUAUAGAAGAAACUACGCACAACAAGUUCAGCACUUUUGUUCUUUUUUAUAAUUAAGAAACAAACAUAACCCAAAAAGACAUAUGUUUAAGCAAUCAAUAUUGCAAGAAUAAAGGAGACGGUAGAAUGAUUGCAAGGGCUAAAGCCAUAUAUAGUAGGGGAAAGGAUAUGAAACCUGUUUCCUUCUUCAAAUUAUUUGGAAAGAUGGAGCUGAACAGGUUCUGAGCCACAAACCUCUUGGAAUUUUAUGUGGAAAAGUAACUGACAUGAAAGAAGGAGAAUCAAUAGUGUUAUGAUAAAGCUGAAACUCUUCACUUGUAGCCUAUGGGUCUAGUUUCUACUCAUUAAUGGAGAGAAUUAUUGAAUUAGGAAGCAAAAAAGAAUAUAAAGUCGGCAACUCAAUGCAAAGUCAUGAUAGGAGUUGCGAAGUCACUUUCCUUGAAUUCAAUAAAAAAACUGGCCACUUGUCCUCUCUAUAAUUCCAAUAUUGUCCUCACAAAUUUCUUUAUGUGUUAAGGAAAAGACCAUAAAUACGUAGAGAUGUUAAAACAGUGUAUCGGCUGAAUAACCAAGCUACUGUUUACUGCAAUAGAACCUUGACAUGACAUAAUUACACGUAUAAAAUUAUUCUUACUAAUAAUAAAGGUUUAAAUAUUGGUCAAGUAAUUUUGGUUGGACCACACUUGACUUUUUACUUAUAAAAAAUUUAGAAUUAUUUGUAAAAAUUAUUUUAUUCAUAACUUUUAAUAUUCAAAAAGCUUGUAAAAUAGUAAAAGAUAAAAUCAGAAAAGCAAAGCAGAGAAGAAACAAUACCAAGAAGAUAGCAACUAGCAAAAUCUUCUAUCCAAAGAGAAUGAAUUUUUGGAGCAAAAACAAAAUUAAAAAAUGGCCAAGUCAAUGCCACAAGUCGUUGCUGAGGUUUCCAAGUAACUUCCCUCGAAACAUGAUAUAUAUAAAUGCAUAUUUCCUAUUUUUUGUCGUUCGGAACAUAGAAUUUUCCUUUAUUUUUAAUCUAUUCUCACUUUGUAAAUUUUGUUUGACCAUUGGCUUUCUGAAUCUAAUCUAACCUCGUAUAAUUUCAUCAUGAGGUUUGUAUAUUAAUAAUGAUCAUUGAAGAAUCUAAAAUUAACAAUUAUCAAGUGGCCACUAAAGAAAAACUAAAAUGAAGUAUACUUUGUGUGAAAAUUUUUACUUUAUUGUUCAGAGUCUAGUCUUCUAGAGAUCAUAUUCUAUCUUGUGUGUGACAGACACCAAUUCUUAAUGCUCUGCACUGAAAACGCAAUAUACAUUUGCUGAAUCGAAAUUUAUAUUCAAAAGGAGAAAUAAUCCAAUUUAAUAAAUUACUAAAAAUGUCAUGAAUUAUAAUUCCUUGUUGCUGAUAUAGAAAGAUUUGUUUAUAGAACAAACUAUGCCCAACAAGUUUAUCCCUUGAUAUAAGUAAUGAGAAAGGAAAGAGGCUUGUGCAUGAUGGGGAUUCAGCUUCUUGCUUAUCAGCCAUUUCAGAUUACUUCAAAAAAUGAAGGGGAACAGAUCAAUUCAUUCUCUUCCAGAAUAUCCUGUUUAUUAUUUCCAUGGUUAUCGGUAUCAUAUCUGUUUAUCAAACCGAUAUAUUAUCCUUCAACAAUUGAUUAUUUAUGUCCUUCAUGAUGGCAGUUUUCCUAUGCCACCUAUUCUGCGUACUGUAAUCAUUCAAACCUCAUCACUCAUCAAAUACUCCCAAAUUCGUUCUUUAAUUUUACAUCGAUUUUAACUUUUAGAUUUGGUGUUGGUAAUGUCACCCAGGUAGCUAGAGGCCGCAUACUGUCAAGGAAACUACCUUGUUACAUUUCCUUCUUCAAUCCUUCAGCAAACAAAUAAAUUUGCUAGCAUAAAUCAAACAAAAAUCAAACUUUAUUAGAUUUAGCAAUACAUCCAAUUUCCAAAUAAAAUAAAACGGAUACAAGAUACCAUCCACUAACAGUGACACAACUCCUGCAAACAAUUCAAAAUAUAUUACAGCAUAACAAUAUUCCUCCCCUUCCCACCCCAUUUAUUUACAAUGUAUCCCAACCGGCCAAUCGGCAGGCAAAGUUGGGUAAGGGGAGUGUUGCUUCCUCGAUUACUUGCAAGUGACGUAUACUUCCACUACACCACAAUCACCAUCUAUUCUCUUGGAUUGGGUUCCGACCAGUGCAUCAAAGUGUAAACUGACAAUGUUGUGAGGCGGAAGCGUAUCUUUUUCUGCCAUCGAAUAAACUUUCCUCCUUUAAAGUGAUCUAACUUGAUAAUGUUGGUAGCUAUCUCUUUAAGUGAAGCCAUUUUGAAUGCUAAGAAAAUAAGUCUUAAAAUUGUUGGUACAAAUGGGGUUUAAAUGGAAUUCAAAAACUAGCAUAAUUGACUUCAAGACAAGCCUUUCAAUAGAAGUUAUAUUUAAAUUUAUUUUGCCCCCACCACUCAGUAUGCAAAAGAGGAAUAAUGCGAAUAGCCUUAGGGAUACAAUGAAAUCAACAUCUAACUUCAUCUUACACUUUAUGAGAGUAGACCGCUAGAUACACCUGAGGAUUUACAAAAUUAUUUGGCUUUAGAGCUUACUUUUUGCAACAAGUAGAUUAUAAGGAAUUUGGACGCUUUUGUAGUUGAUGGGAACUUAAGUGUUUACGUUAAUAGAACAAAAUAUUUUUCUUACUCUUUGAUAUUUCUGCUCUUGUUUUGUUUUUGAUUUGAUGUCUCAAAAUGGUUGGCAACAAGCCCUUCCUAUAGGCUUCCUAUAGGCUUGCAAGUGUCUCUUCUUCAAUGACCCAACCCUUUCAUUAAGGCACCAUUUUGUCUAAAAGACAUCUUUACAUUUUGUUAGACAUAACUUUUGGAUAAAUGUAUUAUUUCAAUAGUCAUCUUAUGAAAAGAUAACUAUUCAUUCUAUAAAAUAUAAUCUUUGAGUUAUAAUUUGUAAUAAUAACAUUCCGUAUUUAACUUUUGAGCUAUGGUGUCUUUUUAAUUUAUCUCAUAACUUUUGAAUGUCAUUUUACUAAGAGACAUAACCAUUCAUAUGAAAACUUGCCUACAAUCCAAUAGACACACUAUGUCACUUUAUGUGACAUAACCUUUGAGCUAAGAUAGCUUUUCAUUAUAUGAUACAAUCUUUGAUUUUGAAAAUGCACCAACAACUUUGACCUUAUAAACAACUCUAAAACCACCUUCCCCUAGCUUGAUGUCCAUAGAAAAGCUAUCAGUAGCACGAGCUACGGUAGCAAGCUCCAAUAUUGGAAGCUCCAUGUCUUCAUCCUGGCCUUGAUUUUCUUGAUCAUUUUCCUUAUUGUCUUUAGUUUCUUUAAAACAGUAGCCAAAAUAGGCUUGGCAUUCACCAUAAAAUAUGAUAGAUUCUUAUGCAUUUUGAUUGAGCUAGAUAAUUGGACAAAAAGCUGAUGUGGUUUUUGAGAUCACACAAAACCAUGUAUCUCCAGUUAUUUGCUUCAUUAACAACUCUAUUUUGACACCGAUAAGCAUUGAAGAAACUGCGUGUUGAUUUGCUAGCAUCAUUACUAACAAAGGAACAAAAUGAGCAUUAUUUGUGAAGGAUAUUUCAAAGUUACGUCUGAACUUUCUGGGGCUUCUAUAAAUGUAAUAACUGACAAUAAACAGCCCCAAAACCACAGCACAGUAGUGUUCCAAUCACUGCAGCAAGCUCCAUCCUGAGCUUAUCUUUCAAUUCUGUAUGACAGAAUUUGAUAAAGAAAAGCAUAUAUGAACAAAAAAAAGUAGUGAAAACAAGAGAAAAUGUAAACUCAUACCUGAUUUUGGAGCAGACACUCUAACAUAUAGGUCCUGCCCUACUGAUUGAAAUUUUCUGUAAUCAAUCAAAUUACCAAACCAAAAGGCGCAUCCCCAAACUCUUCCUCCAUUAUCUGAACUAGUGUAUGCUUGGCUUUCUACAUUCCAUGUGAAGUCCUGUAUCAUCAGUUUGGUUCAGAACAAGUCCUGUGAUCAAUGAUUUCUAUUUGAGACAUUUUGUAUGGUUGAAAUAUAAAAUAGAAAUACCCGGACAUUGAAGAGAUAUUGAAGAGAAUUUGCAGGAAUCAUAACUCCAAAACCACAAAUGCUUUUCAGCUCUGGUAAUUUCAAUAAGGAAAGUUUCCUUAAUUUGGGAAGAAUGAAUGUUAUGCUAACAGCCCUUCCUUCUCCUCUGUUAUUUUCUCCCUCCUCUUCUGAUUCUAUUAUUUGCUCCAUUUUUUCACAAAGCCUGACAUCAAUUUCCUCCAAAUUUUGAAAACACUGCAACAGCUUAAUUGAACACAACUUCUUCAUCCUCGAACAGUUUCUCAAGUAAAAACUUUUGAGAGAAGAGAAAAUGGCAGGUGGUGUUGGGAUCUGAGAUGGAGAUACACAUAGAUUCAUGGUUUUCAUGAAUAAGAUAAAAAUGUUAUGAUCACCAUUUAAACAUAAUAUAUAUAUAUAUUUAGAGUAAUCACACUAAUCAUAUCAAAUUAAACUCAUACUCAUAAUUUGCACGCAACAUCAAAUCACCAAAUCUUAUAUAGAUAAUUUAAACUAUUAAUCUUGUUUAAUUAUAUUUGUAUUCAUCAUUUGAAGGGCUUUGUAAAUUUGUAAAGUAAACAACAAUAAGCAAUAAUUAUGUUUAUUUUCAAUAUCUUGGUACUGAUACAUCACUUCCCAAAUAUGCUUUCCUUUUCUUUUUCAUAUAUAGACAUUGUUUUAUUUGGAGAUUGUAGCUAGCUAGACACCAUUAUUGCCAGUCCAAGAGGUGACACUUUGGAGAUUGAAUAGCAUUUAAUUUUCAGGUGUUUUGGUCUUGAGAUGAGUGGCAACAUUAAUUCUUUUGGAUCUGUUGAAUUAGCUUUUGUAUAUAAAAGAAGGUAUACCUCCUCAAACAUGGAAAAUCCCCUUUCAAACCCAUAAUUUUAAAGAAAGAAAAUCCUAAUUUAAUAGAUUAGUUGCCAACUAAGGACAAGCAUUGUUGAUGUGACAUUUAUUUUGGUAUAUUCUAACACUCGUUGACUAGAUUCAAUUGGAUAGGAUUCUUAAUUUUGAUGAGAUUUAUGGGUAGUGAUUAAACAAUGGAAGUGUUGACAAUGGAGGUUCUAAGUCCCUUGCAUCUAAGAAAGAAAUGAAUUUGUUCAAUUGACACUGCUUUGGUACAUAUAGAAAGUAAGCUAAUACCAUAGCCAUAUUUCUUACGUGACUUCCAACAAAUUUGAGACUUCAGUAUGGCAAAAUAUUGGGUAUUUGAAUAAAUUACAAUACAAAUAGAGAAAGAAAAAAGAAAGAGACUAAAUAGAAAGGGGAAGUGGAAAGAUCCCCAAAAUCAAUUAAUUGUAAGUGGAAGGAGCAAAGCCCAACUUUGUUGGCAACAAAGUCAUGUUCCCACAGAUGAUUUUGUUCUUGUUGCAGAGCGUUGUCAAUAAUAUUUACUUCCAGGCUGUCUUUUGGUAAAUAGAAGCCGAUAAUGGUUCUCUGGAUCAAGCUCAAAUAUAGCUCCAUCUUCAAAAAUGAAUUGCAAAUCCUGACACUGAAGACAAAAUCAAGCCUUGUUAUUGCUUUUAAUAAAAGCAAAUAAAAUUUGAAGGGUGUUCAGCUGGGCAAUUACUAGUUCCCAAGUAACAGUUUUAACUGCUACUUUCCUGUACCAAAUUCCCAAGCAACGAUUCUUAGAGCUUCCAGGACUAAAGAAACCAAGCUCAAGGAUUCCGUCCAUCACUAACAGACUGGGAGGAGGCGGAGAUAUCGAUUCCAUCAGCAAUACUUGAAAACAAUAUUAGUAAAACAGUGUUGGUGAACAUGGAAGACAGAAUGUCCUUUUAAACUUUCAGAGCUUGUAAAACUCAUAGAAAAACUUUUCAGUUUGGCAGAUUUUAGAGAGCAAACAUAUUUAAACUGAUGAUCGUUGACUAGUAUGCAAAUCUUCCUUGAAAAGACCAAACUUUUCAGGUUGCAUAGAAUUCUUAUUUCUAAUUUUUAUGAAGCUUCAGUGCAGUCAUCUUGUAUUGUCUCUGUGAAUCAAAUAUAUAAAUAAAUAUAUAUAUAUAUAUAUAUAUAUAUUACCCACAAAUAGACACUUGCAGGGCGCUAAGCUCAAACUGGGACUAAACCACUGGUAUCAAAGCAUAAGGUACAUGACAUACUGACUGAUAGCCUAUAAUAAUGGCUUGGAGAUAAAAGAGCUAAGUAUACAGUUUAUCAAUUAUCAAGCAUCUAGUACUGACAGAGUUAUUUCAUUUGUGGGAGACGAUACAUUCUUGUCUGAUGAAGAAUCUUAUUCAAGUGGACUUUUCUUAAACAAAACACCAGGUUGUUUGGGGUGUGGCAAUUCAUUUUCGCUUCCCAAUGUCAGAAUCACAAAUGACAUACUUGGCCUAUCCUCUGGAUAUGCUGUUGUAAACUUAAACGACUGAUAAUGGAUGAAUUGUAUCACUUCUGAUAGAUUGCAAAGACUCUCCUAAGCAUUCGUCAACAAGUUUUAAAGGACUGCCUUAUUUACAUAAUCUUCAUGCCUGCAGCAAAUUGAAACCCUUUUAGGUUUUAUCAAUCCAAGAUAGGCAACAAAAAAUUGAUUAUAAAAAUAUCUGCUGAAACUGACAUGUUCAACAAGGUUGCCGCUUUGUGUUGGAUGGUAAAGCCCUCUAUUUUUUCUUCCCACUUAUUAUCUCCAUCAAUAAUAUACCAAAGCUAAAGAGAUCUGAUUUUACUGGAAGCAGUCCAUCAAUAGCAUAUUCCGUGCCAUAUAACCACUGCAGAACAUUAUCAAAAGCAAUAAAUAUAUGAGGGUAUGUAGACAUUAUGAAAAUAAAGUGAAAGUUAGUAAGUUCCAACCACUCUUUUAGCGUUCCCUUCAGUUUGGUCUCCUCCAAAAGUUCUAGCCAGUCCAAAAUCUGAAACUUUUGGAUUCAUCUCACUAUCAAGCAGAACGUUAUUAGUUUUGAGAUCUCUGUGAAUAAAAAAAAAUUAUUCAAAUGAAAUGGCAAAGAAUCUAAUUAACUCGUUUGAAGAAACUUUGGAUUUGCUAGCAUCACCAUUAACAAAGUGUUUUUUUUUUUUUUGUUUAUUUUGCAAAGGACAACUUGGCACGAUCUCUGUAAAGGAAAUGACUGACAGUGAACAACCCCAAAAGCACAACACAGUGUUAAUGCAGGAAGUUUUAUCCUAAGCUUAUCUUUCAAUUCUGUAUGAUGAAAUUUGAUAAAGAAAAGCAUACAUGAACAAAAACAAAAAAAGCAUUGAAAACAAGAGAAAAUGUAGACUCCUACCUGAUUCUGAAGCAGACAUUUUAACAUAUAGAUCCUGCCCUUUUGAUUGAAAUUGUCUGUAAUCAAUCAGAUGAUGAAACCGAAGGGCUCAACCACUACCUAUUCCUCUGUUAUCUGAACUAGUGUAUGCCAUAUAGGAAUAGUUCUACAGAUACUUAGCCCUGCGUCCCUUAAAAUUCAUACUUUUAGUUACCCAAGAAUGUGUAGCAUCUUGCAUUUUCAAAUCUUUUAAAUCUGACAAAUCCAUCUCUACUUUGGCAGUUGAAUGGCUUAUUGUGCUUACACCUUUGGGACCAGUCUGAUGAGUUCUAUCUUUCGGGAAAUUCAGGCUUAAACAUCAGCUUUCAGGGAAUUAAGGCUUGAAUCCUUUAAAAAGUGCAAGCUGAGCACCAUCACGAUUCCUUUUUGAACCACAAAGUCCAUAUCUGUCACAGUAGUCUCUUGGAGCAAAUGAGAAAAGCAUCCAAGCUUGCUUUCUGCAUUUCAUGUGUAGUCCUGUGAUCAAUGAUUUCUAUUUGAGACGCUUUGGAUGGUUGACAUAUAUAAUAGAAAUACCAGGUGGGUAGAUCAUGCAUUGUUUUCAUAAGAUGAUGUGAUUGAGUGACUUUUGAUGAAUGCAGAAUACACAAAGUGCAGCAGAAAACAAAUUAUAAACAUUGAGGUCCCAGAUAAUUUGUAUUUUUCAAUAAUAUGCAGCUUGUUCCUCUAAUCAUUCUCUUGAGUGGACAAACAUAACUUCAAUGACUUACUUGUAUUAAAUGAUUUCCAAUUCAUGAACCAGUUGAGACCAGUGUGGAUGCGUUUUCUCACAUCUGAUAGGUUGCAGGACAGUCCUAAGAAUUCACCACCGAGUUCAACAGGGGUGCCUUCCUCUCAUAAUCUCCAUGCCUGCAGCAAAUUGAAAACCUUUUAGUCAUUUUAUUAAAGUAUUUUAAUUCAUAAUAAUUAAAGUAUUUUAUUUAAGUGUUAAAGUUCUAUUUAUAGUAGUAGUAAUUAUUAUUAUUAUUAUUAUUAUUAUUAUGAGUGUGUGUGUGUGUCUUUUUUUGUUUUAAAAUUUGAAAAAAAAAAUUAAAACCAAAUUUGAAAAAUGUGAGUGAAAAUGAAAAUAAAGGAAAGGGGUAGGACGUGUCAGAUAGCAAUUGGCUGAGAUAUGCAGAUUGAAGGGUGUUUAGUUGGAGAUUUUUCUAUCAUUCAUAAAAUUAAAGACUUGGUUUUAUGUUUAUAUUAAAAAAGAGAAAUUAUUUAGCAAAUGAGAAAUUAAGAGAUAAAAAUAUUUAGCAAAUGAGAAAGAGAUGAAAAUAAACUCACAAUUAAUGUUUGCUGUUUUUAAUAAGAAGCAAGAGCCUUGCACCCUCAUUUAAUCAAACACCUCUUCUCCAUCUCAUUCUACCAAUACUGAACAAAGGGAGAAAGGACAUCCUUAGCAUCAGGCUGAUCCCAUUCCACUGAUUCCCACCAUUCUCUCGGGCUUACUAUGAUUCGUUUUAGAAAAGGAGGAGGCAAUGGUUUCCCAUUUUCAACAAGGGGAAGAGACAAUGGGAUCCUCUUUACUUCUGGACAAUCGAAUAAUGUGACAUGUUGGAGAGAAUCUACAGGAAUCACAAGUCCACCACGGCAUAUGCUUUUCAAUUUUGGUAAUUCUUCCAAGACUAAUGAUUUUAAUUUGGGAAGAAUAAAUGUUGUUCCUUCUCGUUCCUGAUUUUCUUCUGAUGCUAUUAUUUCCUCCAUUUCAUAACAAUUUCCAACUAUAAUUUCCUCUAAGUUUUGGAGGCUUUGCAACAGCUCAACUGGAUACAACUUCUUAAUCUCGUAACAAGAAUACAGUUUCAGUGUUUUAAGAGAAGAGAAGAAGGCAGGUGGUGUUGGAGCAUGAGAGGUAGAUUCAAUUUCUGCUGCUACUCCUACUCUCACAACUUCACGCAAGUUCCACAAUGACUCAAGCCAUAGCUCCUCAACGUUGUGAAGUGCGUUGCAAGACCAUGAUGACAAGUCAACCACACACUCUAUCCCUUCACACCUCCGAAUUCUACAUUUCUUCAAGUCAGUUGCCUUACGAAACAAAGGAAUAUGGCUUAAACAUUUGAAAUCAUUACACCCCUCAAUACGUAAAGUAUGAAGGUCAUUUGGGAGCACUACAUCGUCACACCUUUCUAUCUCCAAAUUUGUGAAUUCAACAUUUUUCUCAAUUUCGUUGAAAUCUGGGGAAUACCCAAUAUAAAUAUUCACAUCUGGUCCCACUUGAAAAUCGAAAGAUGUAGGCCAUUUACCUUGUGUAGACUCUGCAUAUUUCUUAAACUCUUGCAUGUCGCAAAAUGAACAUGAAACACACUCAAGCUUCCUCAAUUUGCCUACUUCUUCCCCCCUUAAAUGUAACUCCACCAGUAAGCAUUGCAGAUGAGAAAUCUUCACUAAUAUUCCCAUUGGUAGCUCCUUUAGAUGCGUUGACCCUAGACGAAAAUAUCUAAGGUUUUGUAACAUUUCUAUACCAUGAGGAAACUCCUCAAUGCUUGUACUAAAAAGGUCCAACUUUCUCAGUGCUCUGAGCUCUGCUAAUGAAGGCACAUAUUUUAACAUGUGACAAUUAGCAAGUAUCAAUGCAUUGAGAUUUUUCAACUUAGAGAUGGAAUUGGGUAGAUUCUCAAUCUCAUAAUUACCAGAAAGAUUUAGAACUUUUAGCCCAAGCAUGUGCUCAAAGAAAGAUUCUGAAAUCCUUUUUAAGUCACAAUAUUGCAAUAUCAAAGUUGACAAAUGAGGACAUUCAGGUGAUAUGUGAGCAGGGAUUUCUAUUAAUUUUGAAUUUCGCAUCAAAGAAACCUUCUCAACACUCGUUGUCCAUUCUUGCUCACUUGGUAGUUCCUCCAACUGCACAUUGGCUUUUACCAUGAACUGAUGACCUUUAAUAUACAAUGCCAGGUCUCUCAAAACAUCAUGCAUCUUAACUCCUCUUUCAUCCAAAUAAGUUUCAUCCCUCUCUAACAAGCAAUUAUUUUCAAGCUUAUUUAAAAUGCUAUGGCCUCUGUCAUGCAUUUCUUUUCUAGUCCUCAAGCCAUCAAGGAGUCCUUCAUCUAUCCAGUUUUCAAUUAAUUCAACUUUUUCAAUCACAAAAUCUUCAGGAUACAAGGAGCAAUAUAAGAAACAAUUUUGAAUUUUUGGAUCUUUCAAAUGGUCAUAACUGAACCUCAAACGCUCAAAUAUUUCAACAUCUGAUCCUUUCACACUUUUCACAUGCUCUUCUAAUUCAGUUAAUGCAUUUCUCCACUCACAAAUAUCAUUUACCCCCUUCAUGCUUUCAGCUAUUGUGACAAUGCUAAGUGGUAAACCGCCACAGUGCUCAACAAUUUUGUUGACAAUGUCUUUUAAAUUUUGAUCUUGUACAACACUAUGCCCCACAUGAUCUAAGAAUAAGUUCAUGGACUCUGUCUUUGAAAGUGGUUGCACUUUGACCACCUUACAAUCCAUAGAUUGACAAACCUCAAUCGAUCUACUAGUGAGUACAACUUUCCUCUCCAUGCCUAGUAUUGGUUCAGGGAUUCCCACAUCCAAUAAAGAAAAUCGUUUCCAAACAUCAUCUAAAAUUAACACAUAUCUUUUUCUCUCCAAAACAUCCUUUAUUGUUGUUGCUUGUUGCAAUUUAUUUUUAGGAAGAGAUUGUUUAAGAGAAUCUGCGAUAUCUUCUUGCAAUUUGAAAAUAUUCAAAUUUUUUGAUACAGUGACCCAUAUCACUUUAUCAAACUUCUCACUUUCCUUUAACAAUUGAUUAUUGAUAUGCUUCAUGAUGGUAGUUUUCCCUAUACCACCCAUUCCACAUAUUCCAAUCAUUCCAACCUUAUCACCCAUCAAAUACUUCCAAAUUUGCUCUAUUACAUCAAUUUCACCUUUUAUAUUUGGUGUUGGUAAUGUCACCCCAGCGGUUGGAGGCCCAUCAACUGCCACACCGUUAGGGAAACUACCUUGUUGGUGAAUUUCCUUUACCUCUUCAAUCUUUCGACAAACAAAUUUUCCAAAAUGACCACGUAAGAAGUAUGAAACAACACGGAACUUGGUUUCAAUCUUUUCCAUUUCAGUGUUUACCUUUUCUACAUCUUUAAACCAAUUCUCCACUUCUUUCUUCACCACUUUUCCAUGACGAAGCUCCGCUUCCUUUUUUAAUACGAGGUCUUCCUUUUGAUCAUUUAGAUCAUUCACUUUUCUUCGAAGAUCAUUCAUAUGUUCUUCAAGUUUCGGGUGAUGAUCUAUGUAUGUACAGAUUGGACCACCAAAGCACUUUAUUGCUUCAAAAAUUGGCCCUAUAAGCUCCAUAUAAGCUAUUCCCUGUAGUUUAAUAAACCAAGAUAUAUUAUAUCUCCAUAUGACAUAAGCUACUCCCUCUUUAUACUAAAAUUCUAUAUUUUCCAUAUAAUAUAGAAUAUGUUAGAAAAAAAUGUUACUAAAUAAAAGAUUUUUACCAAUUCUUCUUAAGAAAAAACAUAAUAUUUUUGAAAACAAUAUAAGAAAAAAGAUGUUUUUGUUUCCAUCAUGUUUGAGUAUAAUAUUUACAUUUCCAACACUGUUUAUAUCUAAAUGAAUGUAUUCAUUUUGCCCCUUAAAGAACCAUCGCAAAUUCUUGAAUAUAUCAUAUCUAUAUGGUUCCUAGUUUUGAUCAUUACAACAAUAAUAAAAGGAUGGUGAGAAUGGAGAAGUCAAUCUACUAUAAAUAUAUAAAUAACAAAAUUUUGAUAAAAGAAGGAAACGAUUUAAAAUUGAUAACUUCCUCUUCUAACACAUACACAUAUUAAAUAAAUGUUAUAUAUUUAUUAAUCAAUGCAAAAUUUUAAUUUUCAUAUUGAAAGACUAAAUUUACUAAAUUUGAUUAUCCAUUUUACACAUUUAAUAAAAAUUUAAGUUAGAAUAUGUAAGAAUAUCUAAUUGUUAGCGUUAAUAACUGUAGAAAUUACCAUUUAAUGUUGAAAAUGGAUAUUUUGACAAAAAAAAAUACAGGUAUAAUGCUAAAAAAACCCUUGAAUUAUUUACGAAAAUUUAAAAAAAAUUAUUCUUUUAUUAUGUUCAACCAUGCCCUUAUGCUUUUAUUUAAUUUAUAUUAAAUAAGCCUUUAUAACUAAUAGUUGAUUAAUUGUUAUUAAUCAAAAUAUCUCUCGUCAUUUUAUACUCACGUGGUGUUGAUGUGGCGUUGAUGUGUGGAGUAAAGAAUGAGAUAUGAUUAUGUCAUCAUACCACAUCAACAAGCUUUAAAAUAUCUUAAACAAUAAUUACAAGAAUAAACUGAGAAUGCAGAAUGACAUUAAAAAUACAUAAUUUCUUCUACAAAUUAUUUGGAAAGACGAAGAGCAGAGGUUAAGUUGACCAGUCAAUAAUUAAUUCCUUGGCUCCUUGUUAGGUACUACUCCUAUCUUGAGAGGACGUUGGUUAAAUAUGGGGAGAAAGGGACUGUCAAAAAAAAAUUAUCGGGAGAAAGGGAAGAUUAAUAUAUAAUUAUUCAUAAACAGUUGUUUUUAUACUAGAGCUAGAAUAUUUCCUUAUAUUGGAGGUUUAUUAUAAAAUAAAUCAGGGCUAGUACAACUAAUCUAUUUAAACUUAACGGCCAUUUUUUCUUUUGAUGGGAAAAAUAAAAACAAAGAGAAUUUCACAAACAUCUCAUAUAAGAUUAAUAAAUGUCAUAUAUUUGUAUUAAAUAAAUGUCAGGUAUCAAUGUAAAGUUUUAAUUUUGAUAUUCAAAGACUAAAUUUAGUACAUUUGAUUAUUUUCAUAUAUUCAGUUUACACAUUUAAUACAAAUUUAAAUUAGAUAAUUAGGUAAGAAUUUCUAAUUGUUAGCCUAAAUGAAUAUUGAAAUGACCACUUAAUGUUAAAAAUGGAUAUUUUCAUGCAAAAGCAUAUAUUUGAUAGCAUAACUCAAACAAAAGAAAAACUUUAUACUAUUAAAAUUUGCACUGAUUCCAUUUCGUUCUUUUCUAAUUGUUUCAUAAUGCUUGUAUUGUCUAUUAUUUCUAUUAAUUUUUUUUAACAAUUACUCCUAAUUUGAAUUUUCAGUACUUAUUACUAAUAUAAUAGUUAGUCAACAAUUUACAGUCAAAAUUUACCUUAUAUAAUUACUUAUUGCUUUACCUUACAAAUAUGAGAUGUUGGUACAUUUUUGUUAGAGACUAUAGUUGCUUAGGUUAUUUUAAUCCUUUUUUUCCCAUAUAUUUUGUCUACUAAUAUUUAGUUUUAUGGUUCCCUAGUCUCAAUUCCAUCAUCAAAAGUUUGAUUUCUUCUUUUUGUAUGCCUCUUUGAAUUAUUCAAUUCGAUCUUUAUAUAUAUUUUGACCUCUUUGAUUUAUUAUUAUUUGGUAAUUAUGUAUUUCGAAGUCCUUGCUGAAUUAUUCAAUUUCUUUAUUUUUUUAGUAAAUUGUUUUACUAUGCUCAUAUUUGUAAAUUUUCAUCAAAAUCAAUUACUCUUCCAACUAUCAAGAUCUUUAAGACAUUAUUGAUCAACAUGCAUAAUUCCAAUUUUUUUUUUUGGCAAUUUUUUAAUGUUCUUAUUUAGAUUCUAAAUUAAAAGAAUUAUUGUAAAUAACAUCAUCACCCUUGUACUGAACUGACUAAAUAUAGUUUUGAAUAAUAAUAAACAUCAUCUAGGCCAAAAAUAAUAAUAAAAUAUUAAACAUCAAUGACCAAAGAAAUAUUAAGCAUUUUGAAUAUUCGUAAAGAUUUUCAAUUGAGUCUCCUUGAUGAAUUAUUCAAUUUCUUUAUUUUUUAAGUAAAUUGUUUUACUUUAUUCGUAUUUGUAAAUUUUCAUUAAAAUCAUUUAUUCUUCUAAUUAUCAAGAUCUUUACGACGUUGUUCAUUGCAUGGGAAAAUUUUCAUUAAAAUCAUAUAUUUUAUGUUGUUAUCAAUAUUCCUAACUAAAAAGUAUAUAUUGUAAAUAAAAUCCUCAACCUCGCAUUGCACGGGCUAAAUCUAGUUUUCAAUAACAUCACCUAAAAUAAUAAUAAUAAUAAUAAACAUCAAACAACCAAGCAAAUAUUAAUCAUUUUGAAUAGUGUAAUCUAUCCAUACGUAAGGAAUAGUAUAUCUUUUCGAUAAUUAGAACAAGAAAGCUUGUGAAAACAACAAUAUAUCUCAAAAAAGACAUUUGAAAAAUACUUGCCAGAAUAAACAGAGAAUGACAUACAAAACACCUGGUUUCUUCUUCAAAUUAUUUGGAAAGAUGAAGCCCAAAGGUCAAUUAAAAUGAUCCACAAACCUCCCUGACUCUUUGUUCAGCACAAACUUCUUAGGCAGAAGAAACAAAUUGACAUAAAAUUAACAAGGAAAAUUAUUUUAAUAAAAAUGAAAAUUUUAUGUGCUAAAAUUUUCAGAAUCAUUCAUUUUCAGUUUUCACUAACUAUAAUUAAUUUUCACCUAAUUAAGUGAAAAAAAGCAUGACACAGACCAAUAAACAAAAUAAUUAUGUGGAAGGAAAGAUGAUGAAUCUGUGUUAUAAAUCUAAAAUAUGAACCCAUAUCUAUACUAAACAGUUUAAUUUACCUAGUCAAAUGAGGCAGAUGAGCUGAUACUUCUAUCCUCAAGGAUUCUUGCUUAAGUUUGCAAAAGUAGAUCUCCUUGCAAAAAAUUGUCAAGAAAAUAGCAACAAGCAGAUCUCCUUCCGAAAAUAUCCUCUAUGAAGGAAAAUGAAUAAUGAAGCACAUGAGUUAUUGAAAAGUGGGAAAGAUUAAUAUUUAUGUAAGAAACUGAAAUAAAUGCCCAACUUGUGUCUUAAUAUUGACAUGGAACUUAUAAUAAGAUGAAUUUAUGUUAUAAUUUAAGAUUCUGAUUAAUUAAUGUUAUCAAAGAUAAAACUAAAUCAUAAGUACACACAACUUAAUUCAGUAAGGCAGUGAAGUGAUAUUUCUAUCCUGAAAAGACCCUCAAUUAAUUGGAGAAACAAGUGCAGUCAAGAAAAAUAGCAGCAACAAAUAGAUUAUCUCCUUGCAAAAAAGAAAUCCCCAAUCCUAUGAGAGAAGAGAAUCAAUGGAUUAUGAAGAAAAAAAAUUAAAGUCGGCAGCACCCAAUCAAUUGACUCUUUGGUUGAUGCAUGAUUCUUUUUUAUCUAAAGAGUAGGCUUUAAAUCCCUCUUUCCCCAAUUAAAAAGAAAGAAUAAAAAUCAGAAAAUAUAAAGAAAAUGAAUUAUGAAAAACAUGAACUAUUGAAAAGUGGGCAAGAUGAAUAUUUGUACGGAUCUUAUGUUAAGAUGGGUUUGUGUUAUAAGGUAAGUUUCUGAUUAAUUAAUGUUACCAAAGAUGAAAGCAAAUAAUAAGCAUAGACAGUUUACCUGGGUCAGUGAGGCAGUGAAUUAAUUGAUACUUCUAUCCUCAAAAGGUCUUUAUUAAUUUUCGGAAACAAGCAUGUGGAAGAAAAAUAAACAGCAACAAGCAGAUGAUCUCCUUGCCAAAUUAAAAGAAAAUCCUAAACUUAAUCUUCCGUGAGAGGAAAAUUAAUGAAUUAUGAAGCAAAUAAGAGUUAAAAGUCAAUCCAAAGUCGUCGCACUAGUUGUGAAGUCACUUUCCUCGGAGCUGUUUCACAAUAAUGCAAAUGUGAAUAGAAGAAAAACUGGCAAAGUAGGACAGAAUUAUGGGGCCACUUAUCCUACUCUCCUUCAUUAUUUGAAAAGAUAAAUUGUUGAAGAAUAGCCCUCAAUUGGGGUAUUUCCAUUCCAUCAUCCGCUGUUUAAAUCAGAAAAAAAGAAGCAGCAAAGCAAAGCCAAGGUAAGAUGAUAGCAGCUAGGAAAAUCUCUUGUCCAAAUAUUAAUAUAUAUCUUUCGUGCCAAGAGAUAAUAAAUUAUGAGAAAAAAUAAUUAAUAGUCGUUGGGAAAGGUGAGUCAAUGCAGCAAGUCAUCGUUAAAAUUAAAUUAUGGGAAAAAAAAUAAUAGUAGGUGAGACAAUGCUGUAAGUCAUUGCUAACAUUGCUAACGUUUGCACCAAACUUUAAAUUAUGGGGAAAAAAUUAAUUAAUAGUCAAUGAGUCAAUGCUGCAAGUCGUUGCUAACAUUCCGAACGUUUGAACCAAACUUUAAAUUAUGGGGAAAAAAAUAAUUAAUAGUCAAUGAGUCAAUGCUAAAAUAUUGCUAACAUUUGUACAAAACUUUAAAUUAUGAGAAAAAAAUAAUUAAUAGAUAGUGAGUCAAUGCUAACAAUAUUGCUAACAUAUGUACAAAUCUUAUAUAAAUCUUAAUAAUUAUUAUAUGAAUCUUCUAUAAAGCCGAUUGACUUGAGAAAAGAUAAACAGGGAAAGUAAGGUUAUCCUCGAAUUUUUUCUUUUUAUUAACAUAUGACAAGUUCCCAGGCAAAAGCGAAAAUUCAAAUUAUUUCUAUAAUGAAGGGCUAAUUAACACCUUAUUAAUUGUUAAUUAAGUCUCCUUAAAACUACUCAUUCAGAUAAAUCAUAAUGUUUUUCCUUUUGAUAUAUAUAAAAAAGCUGUUCUAACUAUAUGAAUUUGUUCGAUCAUUGAUUUUCUCAAUCAAUCAGUUAGAGUUGAGCAGCAGAUAAUGUUUUAAGAAGUUGACGUGAAUAAAAUAUUGUGAGACAAUGAGCAGAGGGAAUGAGUAAACAAAUAUAUUACUCGACUCUAUAACAAAGAGUAGGAACUUCAAAUGUCAAUCUAUGAUUUAAUUAUCGGAUUAAUAUGUGCUACUAACACAAUCAAUGGUCCUGAAUAUCAAGAGUUGUUUGUUAUUAACACUACUCUGAAUUAGUAUUUGUAAUGUUUUUCCUUUAUUCUUAAUCAAUUCUAGAUAUGGAAAUUUGUUUGACCGUUGGCUUUCUGAAUCUAUCAGGAAUUGAAUAGACAAGGUGUUGUUAUAGGAAAGUUCAUGCAAUUGAAUACAUAAAGUGUGAAGUAAUGAGCAGCCAUUUUUAAUUAUUGAUUAAGUUGCUGCAGUUCUGAAACUCGUGAUUAUGAUGAGAUGUAAAUUUGAUGAAGUUAUUAUAACCCAAGAUUAAUUUAAUCAGCUAUCAAUGUCAAAGAACUUCACUUUCCUAGCUCAUAAACCGUGAACAGCCAUUUUUAAAUCUUGCUUGCAGUGUGUACAGAUCAUAUAUCUCAGAUGAUAGAGUUCGGCAGGAAAUCAAUCGAAUGAUUGGGCUAAAGCCAAGAUCUUCCAUGCUGAUAAGAAUAAAUGUAUCUGAUUGAGAGAAACUGAAUAUGCCUACUCCAUAAAAACAAUGAAUCAAAAUAUUAUUAUGCCUGUAAAUAUUUUUAUGGUACAUUAAAGGCAAAGAACUUGACAUGGGACAGGCAACAAGAUCGUCGAUAACAUCAUCAAUGAUUACAUUCGAGCCUUCUAUUAAGUUUAUGUAACAAAUACAAAUAAGUAAUGGCUUAUCAUGCAUUCUUAUUUUUGUUAUGAUAUGAGCAUUAAACGACUCUUCCUCAAUGAAACAUCUGAAAGAGUGUAGGAUAAAAGAAAUCAAAACAAUUUACAACUGAUGAAGUUUCAGUCCAGUCAUCUUGUUAAUGUCUCUGUGAGACAAAUAUACCGCAAGUAGGCACUUGCAGGGUGCUAUGCUCAAAUUGGGACUAAACUACCGGUAUCAAAGCCUAAGGUACAAAACAUACUGCUCAAUAGCAUAUAAUAAUAAUGACUUGGAGAUGAAAGAGUUAAGUAUACAGUUAAUCAAUUAUCGAGCAUCUAGUACUGACAGGGUCAUUUCAUUUGUCGAAGAAGAUACAUGAUUGUCUGAUGAAGAACCUUCUUCAUGAAGUGGUCUUUUCAGCAAUAGAAAACUACGUUGUAUGGGUGUGGCAAUUUAGUUUCACUUCCCAACAUCAGAAUCACAGAUGACAUACUUGGCCUAUCCUCAGGAUGCUGUUGUACACUUAAAAGACUAAUAUGGAUGCAUUGUAUCACUUCUAAUAGGUUGCAAGACUCUUCUAAGCAUUCUUCAACAAGUUCUGAAGGGUGCCUUAUUUCCAUAAUCUCCAUGCCUGCAACAAAUUGAAACCCUUUUAGGUUUUAUCAGACCAAGAUAAGCAACUAAAAUUUGAUUAUAAUCCCUGCUUAAAGAGCAGGGUUCAAAUCCCCCUUCCCCCAAGUCCAAAAAAAAAAAAUCGGCUGAAACUGACAUGCUCAACAAGGUUGGCGCUCUGAGUUGGAUGGUAAAGGCCUCUAUCUUUCUUCCCACUUAAUAUCUCCAGCAGUAAUAUACCAGAGCUAAAGACAAUUGAUUUUGCUGAAAAUAGUCCAUCAAUAGCAUAUUCUGGUGCCAUAUAACCACUGCAGAACAUCAUUUAAAGCAAUAAAUAUAUGAGGAUUUUUAGACAUUAUGAAAUAAAGUGACACUUACUAAGUUCCAGCCACUCUUUUAGCAUUCCCUUCAGUUUGGUCUCCUCCAAAAGUUCUAGCCGAGCCAAAAUCUGAAAAUUUUGGAUUCAUCUCACUAUCAAGCAGGACGUUACUACCUUUAAGAUCUCUAAAUAAUCCUCAAUCCUGAAUCUUGAUGAAGAUAGAGUAGUCCCCUAGCAUUGUCACAGAUAAUUCCCAAACUCUUGGACCAAUUCAGUCCUUUACUUCUUGUUUGAUCUGGCAAUUGGUAGGUAUUCUCUUCAUGUCAGUCCAAUAUCAUUUUUGAUCUUUGGAAGCAGCAAACUGCACCAUGUGUAAAAUGUAUGAAAUAUUUAUAAUAAGAGAAACAAUAAACCAAACCAAAUUGACAGGUUUUCAAUGAUUCAGACCACAAAUGAAUGAGUGAAGGCUUCUGUUAAGCAUGUACUCAUAAACCAGCAGUCUUUACUUUCUGUGAAUGCACCACCCAAGAAGCCUUACAAGAUUCUGAUGUUGAAGUUUGGCAAUCAAUUUUACUUCAUUUUUAAACUCUUUCAAUCUUGUCCAGAACUUUUUGAAAGCCUCUUCACAGCAAUUUCUUGUCCGUUUGCUAGUGUCCCCUGGAAAACUACACUUUAGAUUGAGCUUCAAUAAUAAAGAUAAAUUCUCUGUACUUAAGGUAACUUCAAUUAUAUGAUGCAACUUUUACCUUAUAAACAGUUCCAAAACCACCUUCCCUUACCUUGAUGUCCACAGAAAAGCUAUCAGCAGCACGAGCUAUGGUAUGAGGCUCAAAUAUUGGAAGCUCCAUGUCUUCAUCUUGGCCUUGAUUUUCUUGAUCAUUUUCCUUAUUGUCUUUUGUUUCUCUGAAACAGUAGCCAAAAUAGGCUUGGCAAUCACCAUAAAAUAUGAUAGAUUCUUAUGCAUUUUGAUUGAGCUAGAUAAUUGGACAAAAAGCUGAUGUGGUUUUUGAGAUCACACAAGACCAUGCAUCUCCAGUCAUUUGCUUCAUUAAAAACUCUAUUUUCACACUGAUAAGCAUUGAAGAAACUGCAUGUUGAUUUGCUAGCAUCACUAUUAACAAAGUAAUUUUUAACAAAGGAACAAAAUGAGCAUUUUUGUGAAGGAUAUAUCAAAGUUACCUUUCAACUUUCUGGGGCUUCUGUAAAUGUAAUAACUGACAAUAAACAGCCCCGAAAGCACAGGACAGUAGUGUUCUAAUCACUGCAGCAAGCUCCAUCCUAAGCUUAUCUUUCAAUUCUGUAUGACGGAAUUUGAUAAAGAAAAGCAUAUAUGAACAAAAAAAAGUAAUGAAAACAAGAGAAAAUGUACACUCAUACCUGAUUUUGAAGCAGACAUUCUAACAUAUAGAUCCUGCCCUACUGAUUGAAACUGUUUGUAAUCAAUCAAAUUAUCAAACCAAAAGGCGCAACCACAACCUCUUCCUCCAUUAUCUGAACUAGUGUAUGCUUGGCUUUCUGCAUUCCAUGUGAAGUCUUGUAUCAUCAGUUUGGUUGAGAACAAGUCCUGUGAUCAAUGAUUUCUAUUUGAGACAUUUUGUAUGGUUGAAAUAUCAAAUAGAAAUACCAGGCUGAUAGAUCAUGCAUUCUUUUAUAGGAUGAUGUGAUUGACUGACUCUUCAUCAAUGAACUAUACACAAAGUGCAGUAGAAAACAAGUAACAAACAUUUAGAUUUAUGAUAACUUGUCAAUAUGGGGGGCUAAACUUCUUUGAUAAAAAUUCGAAGUUUAUUUCAUGAUGUCCUGAGCUUAGCUAGGCAUCUUUCUAAACGCUCAAAAAGCGUUUUAUAGCUAAUGGACAGAUUAGUGAUCUGAAGAGGUAGUAAUCUUGUUUUUAAUCUUUAGCCAGGGCCUUUUGGCUAGCUGCUCACUCACUUUCAAAGAAGUGCUUCUAAACAUUUAUGAGAAAUAGGGGAUGCUCUGUUUGUAAUUGCAGGGUAAAGACAAAUUUUUAAUUAGUGGUUUGUCAUGACCAGUAAUAUCUCUCCAAUACCUAUGUUGAGAAGAGAGAAAAAUAAAAUGGCUAAGAGCAAUGUUAUACAUGAAAUGGGUUUACAUAGACAUUGAGUUUCAAAGGAGCCGUAGCUGGUACUGUUAUAAAGUUUGGACUGAGAAGGAGAAAGUUUUAUGCAUCAUUUUGUGGAUGAAUGAGGUAAGAAGAUUUAGUACAUAAAAAGGUAUUCGAUUGGGGAUUUUACCGCCAUACAUAAAAUUAAAAACCUUAUUUUCUUUUUUAUAAAAAGAAGAGCAAUUAUAUACCAAAUGAGAAAGAGAUAAAUGAAUAAAAAUAAAAACAGAAUGUUUGCAAUUUUAACAAGAAGCAAGAGGGCACUGUACCAUUGAGGGCCGUGGAGCCACAUUUAAUCGAAUAGCUCUUCUCCAUCUCAUUCUAAUUAUAUGUAACAAAGGGAGAAAGGACAUCCUUAGCAUCAGGCUGAUUCCAUUUCUUCUCCUUUGUGAUUUUCUUCCGAUGCUAUUAUUUCCUCCAUUUCUUCACAACUGCUAACACUAAUUUCCUCUAAGUUUUGGAGGCUCUUCAACAGCUCAACUGGAAACAACUUCUUAAUCUUCGAACAUCUACACAUAUCUAAUAUUUUAAGAGAAGAGAAGAUGGUAGGUGGUGUUGGAGCAUCAGAGUAAUUCUUUAGCAAAUGAGAAAGAGAUGAAAAUAAACUCACAAUUAAUGUUUGCAGUUCUUAAUAAGAAGCAAGAGCCUUACAGCCACAAUUAAUCAAACACCAAUUCUCCAUCUCAUUCUACCAAUAUUGAACAAAGGGAGAAAGGACCUCCUUAGCAUCAGGCUGAUCCCAUUCCACUGAUUCCCACCAUUCUCUCGGGCUUACUGUCAUUUUUGGUAGAGAAGGAGGAGGAGAUGGUUUCCCAUUUUCAACAAGGGGAAGAGACAAAGGGAUCCUCUUAACUUCUGGACAUUCAACUAUAUGAAGAAAUUGGAGAGAAUCUGCAGGAAUCAUAAGUCCACCGCUGCAAAUGCUUUUCAAUUUUGGUAAUUCUUCCAAGACUAAUGAUUUUAAUUUGGGAAGAAUAAAUGUUGUUCCUUCUCCUUUGUGAUUUUCUUCUGAUGCUAUUAUUUCCUCCAUUUCAUCACAAUAUCUAACAUCAAUAUUCUCUAAGUUUGGGAGGCCUUGCAACUGCUCAACUGGAAACAACUUCUUCACCCUCGAACAAAAACUGAUAUCUAAUUUUUUAAGAGAAGAGAAGAUGGCAGGUGGUGUUGGAGAAUGAGAGGUAGAUUCAAUUUCAACUGCUACUCCUACUCUCACAACUUCACGCAAGUUUUUCAACAAAAAUAGGCGUAACUCCUCAAUGUUGUCAAGUGCGUCACAAGACGAUAAUGACAAGUCAACCACACACUCCAUCCCUUUACACUGCCAAAUUCGACAUUCCUUCCAGUCAGUCGCCUUACGAAACAAAGGAAUGUUGUUUAAACAUUUGAAAUCAUCAUACUUGUCAAUAGUUAAAGUUUGAAGGUCAUGUGGGACCACCCUAGGGACCAGUCUGAUGAGUUCUAUCUUUCAGGGAAUUCAGGCUUAAACAUCAACUUUCAGGGAAUUAAGGCUUGAAUCCUUCAAAAAGUGGGAGCUGAGUACCAUCACAAUUCCCUUUUGAACCACAAAGUCCAUAUCUGUCAAAAUAGUCUCUUGGAGCAAAUGAGAAAAGCAUCCAAGCUUGCUUUCUGCAUUUCAUGUGUAGUCCUGUGAUCAAUGAUUUCUAUUUGAGACACUUAUGAUGGUUGACAUAAAAAAUAGAAAUACCAAGUGGGUAGAUCAUGCGCUGUUUUCAUAGGAUAAUGUGAUUGAUUGACUUUUGAUGAAUGAAGUAUACACAAAGUGCAGCAGAAAACAAAUUAUAAACAUUCUCUUCAUUGGACAAACAUAACUUCAAUGACUUACUUGUAUUAAAUGAUUUCCAAUUCAUCAACCAUUUGAGACUAGUGUGGAUGUGCAGGAUAGUCCUAAGAAUUCAUCACCAAGUUCAACAGGGGUGCCUUCCUUCCUCCCAUAAUCUCCAAGCCUGCAGCAAAUUGAAAACCUUUUAGUCAUUUUGCUAUAUCUUUCAACAUUUUAAUUCAUAAUAAUCAAAGUAUUUUUGAAACAUGCGAGUGAAAAUGAAAAUAAAGGAAACGGGUGGGAAGGUGUAAUAGGAGGGGAUGUAGGAAAUGUGAGAUAGCAAUUGGCGGAGAAAUGCAGAUUGAAGGGUGUUGAGUUGGAGAAUUUAUUUUUAUAUUAAAAAUAAAAAGUUAAAGACUUAGUUUUAUUUUGAUAUUAAAAAAGAGAAAUUAUUUAACAAAUGAGAAAUUAAGAGAUAAAAAGAGGACGUGGAUGAAAAUAAACUCACAGUGUUUGCAGUUCUUAAUAAGAAGCAGGAGCCUUACAGCCACAUUUAAUCAAACACCUCUUCUCCAUCUCAUUCUACCACUGAGAAUAUCGAAGAAAGGGAGAAAGGACAUCCUUAGCAUCAGGCUGAUCCCAUUCCACUGAUUCCCACCAUUCUCUCGACCAUACUGUGAUUUCUUUUAGAGAAGGAGGAAGAGAUGGUUUCCCAUUUUCAACAAGGGGAAGAGACAAAGGGAUCCUCUUUACUUCUGGACAUUUGAUUAUAUAAAGAUAUUGGAGAGAAUCUGUAGGAAUCAUAAGUCCACCACUGCAAAUGCUUUUCAAUUUUGGUAACGUAGCCAACUUUAAUGAUUUUAAUUUGGGAAGAAUAAAUGUUGUUCCUUCUCCUUUGUGAUUUUCUUCUAAUGCUAUUAUUUCCUCCAUUUCAUCACAAUAUCUAACAUCAAUAUUCUCUAAGUUUGGGAGGCCUUGCAACUGCUCAACUGGAAACAACUUCUUCACCCUCGAACAAAAACUCAUACGGAAUCGUUUAAGAGAAGAGAAGAUGGCAGGUGGUGUUGGAGCAUGAGAGGUAGAUUCAAUUUCAACCGCUACUCCUACUCUCACAACUUCACGCAAGUUUUCCAUCAAAAAUAGGCCUAACUCCUCAAUGUUGUCAAGUGCGUCACAAGACGAUGAUGACAACUCAACCACACACUCCAUCCCUUCACACUCCCCAAUUCGACAUUCCUUAAAGUCAGUCGCCUUACGAAACAAAGGAAUGUUGUUUAAACAUUUGAAAUCAUCAUCCUUGUUAAUAGUUAAAGUUUGAAGGUCAUGUGGGACCACCCUAUCAUCACACCUCUCUAUCUCCAAAUUUCUAAAUUCAACCUUUUUCUUAAUUUCUUUGAAAUCUGGGAAUCCCCGAUAUAAAUACCCUUAAGUGGUCCCACUUGAAAAAAGAAAGAUGUAGGCCAUUUACCUUGCGUACACUCUGCGUAUUUAUUAAACUCUUGCACGUUGCGAAAUGAACAUGAAACCCACUCGAGCUUCCUCAAUUGGCCUACUUCUUCUCCCUUUACAAACGUAUCCUCUAGCAUUAAGCAUUGGAGAUGACAAAUCCUCCGUAAUAUUCCUACUGGUAGCUCUUUUAAAGCCCAUGACCUCAUACGAAGAUCUCUCAAGUUUUCUAACAUCUCUAUGCCAUGAGGAACCUCUCCAAUUCCUGUACCCGAAAGGUCCAACUUUCUUAGUGAUGUGAGCUCUACUAAGGAAGGCACAUAUUUUAACUGGUUACAACAAAAGAGUAUCAAUGCAUUGAGAGUUUUCAAGUUAGAGNUCCUGUAGCAUUAAGCAUUGGAGAUGACAAAUCCUCCGUAAUAUUCCUACUGGUAGCUCUUUUAAAGCCCAUGACCUCAUACGAAGAUCUCUCAAGUUUUCUAACAUCUCUAUGCCAUGAGGAACCUCUCCAAUUCCUGUACCCGAAAGGUCCAACUUUCUUAGUGAUGUGAGCUCUACUAAGGAAGGCACAUAUUUUAACUGGUUACAACAAAAGAGUAUCAAUGCAUUGAGAGUUUUCAAGUUUGAGAUCGACUUCGGCAGAUACUUUAAGAAAAUAUUAUGUGAAAGAUUUAAAACUUUUAACUCAGGCAUGUGCUUAAAAAAAGAUUCUGAAAUCCUUUGUAAGCCACAAUUUUGCAGUUUCAAAGUUGAUAAAUGAGGCCAUCUAGGUGAUAUGUGAGGAGGAAUUUCUAAUAUUGAAUUUUGCAUCAAGGAAACUUUCUCAACACUCACUGUCCAUUCUUGCUCACUUGGGAAUUCUUUCAAUUGCAUACCUGCUUUUACCAUGAACUGAUGACCUUUAAUAUACAACAACGCC